rnacentral:lncRNA from 1 species
UAUGGAUCCUUAUUGGUUGAGACCACACGUAAAAAUGACAUUGCCAGAAAUUGACAAGGUAAUAUUUCCAUUUAUUCAUUAGAAGAGGCGCCCCUUUUGAAGCUAGAAUGGAUUUUCCUUGAUACCUAACAUAUGCAUGAAAGGAUUCUUGAACAACUAUAAGAUUGUCUGAAAAUCAUUAGCAAAGACUUCAACAAAAUGCUCUAUUUUUCCAUAGAAAAAUAUUGGCCCAAGAAAGGCUCCAUAAGAUGUUGAUCGUAAAUGAUAAGAUUGAUUGCAGAUAAAAAUGAAGAUAGAGUCGUAUUCACAUACAUGAAAAUUAUAUAGGAAAUAUCAAGAUUCUGAUGGUAAUAAACUUUUUGGAAGAACAAGCCUGGCAACUAAGGUCCCAUGUAUGUCAUCUGCAUUACAACUUCCCAAUAAGGCAGUUUUAUGGCAUUUCAGGUUAGGUCAUCUUACACAUAAAAUAGUUAAUAAAGUUUUGAGUGCUUGUAGCUUGCCCCCAAUACAUUGGACAAGUGUUUGUGAACCUUGUCAAAUGGCAAAAAGUCAUUGCUUACCUUUUAUUUUGUCUAAAUCCAGAGUCUCUCAGCCUUUUGCUCUUGUACAUUCUAAUCUAUGGGGUCUUGCCCCUAUUGUUGGUGCUAAUGGUGCAAGAUACUUUGUACCCUUUAUGGACGACCAUACAAGAUUUUCUUGGUUGUAUCUACUAGCUUCUAAAGAUCAAGCUAUCUCUAUUUUUUUUUUUGCAAUUUAAAGUGAUGAUUGAGACUCAAUUUGAUACUAAAGUUAGAGGGCUUCAAACUGAUUGGGGAGGGGAGUUUCAAGCCUUUACUAAUACUUUAUGUAAAUUUGUGAUUCUACAUAAAGUAUCUUGUUUGUCUACUUCUCAACAAAAUGGUCGUGUGGAGAGAAAACGUAGACAUGUGGUUGAAAUAGGUCUUUCAUUGCUUGCUCAUGCUUCUAUUCCACUUAAAUAUUGGUAUUUUGCCUUACAAUCUGCCUUAUAUUUGAUUAAUAGGCUUCCUUCCUCUAUGCUAAACUUUUCUUCUCCAUAUAAAACUCUUUACCAUUGUCUACCAAAUUAUUAUUUUCUUCAUGUCUAUGGUUGCACUCGUUAUCCUUUUCCACAUCCUUUUAAUAGUCAUAAAUUUGCAUAUCGAUCCGUUAAAUGCACCUUUAUUGGCUAUAGUUCUAAGCAUAAAGGAUAUCUCAGAUUAAACAUGUCCACUGGUAAAAUACAUAUAUCAUGACAUGUUAUUUUUGAUGAAUUAGAUUUCCCAUUUGCUAAGCCUUCUACAAUUCAGCCUCCUUGUUUUGUUUCCCCCUCUCAUUGUGCCAUUCCCUUAGCAGUACCAUCCUUUUCAAUAUCUUCCCUCUUGCCUCCCCCAUCUAGUCCUCCUUCAGAGUUGGUUCUAGUCUUUGAUGCUAGUGUGUCAAUUUCCUCUUCUGAGGUUGCACUUAUUCCAACAGCUCAACCUCCUUUCUCUCACGUUCCUACUCCUUGUCAUUUUAUGACAACGCGUGCCAAAAAUGGCAUUUUCAAACCUAAGAUAUUUCUAUCCCCUACUGAGACUAUUUUUCCUCCACCUUGUGAACCGAAUUCCUUCAAGGAAGUUGCUAAAGUUCCUAAAUGGCAGCAAGCUAUGCAUCUUGAAUUUGAAGCUCUUAUAAAGAAUAAAACAUGGGUCUUGGUUCCUCCUUUAUCUAAUUAGAAUAUCAUUGGAUGUCGUUGGGUUUAUAAAUUGAAGUUUAAACCUGGUAGAACUAUUGAACGUUACAAAGCACAUUUGGUGGCGAAAGGAUUUCAUCAAACUCCCGAUUUUGAUUACUUUGAAACCUUCAGUUCCGUGGUUAAACCUACUAUUAUUCAUGUAGUUUUCUCGCAUUAAGUAAAAACUAGUCUAUCAGACAACUUGAUGUUCUUAAUGCCUUUCUUAAUGGUGAUUUAUCUUAGCAAGGUUUUAUGACACAACCCCCAGGUUUUGUGGAUCCUUCUAAGCCCAACUUUGUUUGUAAACUUACCAAGGCAUUGUAUGGUUUGAAGCAAGCUCCACGGGCUUGGUUCACCAAACUUAAUUCCGUCUUAGUUAAAUGGGGGUUUUUCCAUUUCUCAAGUAGAUAUGUCAAUGUUUGUUUACUGUAACAAUUCUGCCAUGCUUGUUGUCUUGGUUUAUGUCGAUGAUAUUAUUGUCACUAGAUCAAAUUCCUUGCUCAUUGAACAACUUAUAUCCUCCUUAAAAUCUUGCUUUGCUCUCAAGGAUCUUGGUGCUCUUAACUUCUUUCUUGGAAUAGAGGUAUUCAAUUCUAGAUCUUCUUUGCAUUUAAGUCAAGCUAGAUAUAUUUGUGAUCUCCUUCAGCAUGCUAGUUUGUCUAAAUCAAAGUCCAAGACUUUCCCAAUGGUUGUUAGUCCCUGUUCUCUCCAUAGCUGAUGGUACUAGAUUAGAAGAUCCCACCUUGUAUCAGAGUCUUGUGGGUGCUCUUUAGUAUUGCACAAUUACUAGACCAGACAUUGCUUAUACUGUUAAUAAGCUUUGCCAAUUUAUGCAUGCUCCAACCUCUACUCAUCUUCAAGUUGUAAAGCGUGUUCUUCGUUAUCUCAAAGGUUCAUUGUUUUAUGGGCUUUCUUUCCAACUAUCUUUCUCCCUCGAUCUCAUUGCCUAUACAGAUGUUGAUUGGGCAUCUUGCCCUAAUGAUAGAUGUAGCACCAGUGGCUACUGUAUAUAUUUUGGUGGCAAUCUGGUCUCUUGGUCAACUUCUAAACAAAAGGUGGUUUCUCGCUCUAGUACCGAAUCCGAGUAUAAGGGCUUGGCCAACGCAGCAGCUAAACUCACUUGGAUCCAAUCCCUACUUAAAGAACUCUUUGUUUCCCUGUUUCAACCCCCUGUUCUUUACUAUGAUAAUCUCAACACUACUUAUUUGGUUGAAAUCCUGUCCUUCAUUCUCAAGCUAAACAUGUGGAAACUGAUUAUCAUUUUGUUCGUGUACGAGUCUUGUAGGAAACUCUUGAUGUUCCAUCUGAAGACCAAGUUGCUAAUAUCUUGACCAAAGCUCUCUCCACUCAACGUUUCCUCCAUCUUCGGAGCAAGCUCACAGUUAUUUCUCUCCCUAUGUGCUUGAGGGGGGAUGUCAAGUAGAGUUGUUUAAGUAGUUAACAGGUUGUUUGUUGUUUGUAACUAAUUAGAAAGUUGUUAGUCAUUUGUAACUAAUCUCUGAAUUUUUGUAUAUAAGAGACAAAGCACUUAUAAGUGGUGCAAUUUGUUGCUUAAUUUUAGUUUUCAUCUCUCUUGUUUUCUCUCAAACAGGUGCUCUGCAUAUCUUCUUUUCAUAUCUUAGAGCUCUUUCUCCAUCUUCAGCAACUCAACCUUGCUCUUCAAAUCUGAUAAUCUGAUCACAUCUUCAAUCCCUCGUUAAUUUCUUCAUUCAACUCCUCUACCUUCGAUUGGAAGCCUGGGACGGGAGUCUCCUGAAGGAGGUCCAUUUUGCUUUUGAUUCCACACUUGAACAUCCAAACCCAUGGACUUGAGAACCUGAGCCAUUUCAAACUCAAUCUCCUUUUUCACUUUUACAGUUUUCUCCUUCAGCGCAUCGUCCAAAUUCCCAAUGGUAGGCAUCUCAGAGUUAUUAAUUUCAACUUUUAAUGCCUCAAUCUUUUCCUUUAUAUCAGCACGAUCCUUAAACUCUUUGAAUCUCUUGUUGAUUUCUUGUUUCGAAGUGGUUGCCUUGUUUCUUUCUAUCUCGGAAGUCCUAAGAUCCAUGAGAUUCUUCUUAUCAUCCUUUGUCCACUCAACAGCCUUAUACCCAUAUCCAUGUCCUUCUUCAUCUUCAUCUUCAUCUUCAUCUUCUGCUUCUCCUACACUUUCAGUUUCCAACUCACUACCACCACCAUCUUUAAGCUUGUGACAACGAUCAUCAAAAUCCAUCAUCCAAUUCAGAAAAAUGCCGCUCAUCAAGCCUCUAGACUUCUUCUGCAUCAUGCCCACUGACAGAGAAGUUGUCUUCUCCAUCCGGACUACAACAGUUUUCUUCUCGACACUCUUGAUGUCACUAACAGCAAUAAUUUAAUGCAUGUUCUGAAUGACAAAACACCCAAAUGGAGGAUAUUUGGAGAAAGUCUCCACUACCGUGGGUUUGAUGAGUGUUAAAGUAUAUUAUGUUAUGGGCUCUAGGCCCAGUUAGGUUACUUGUAUAGUACUUGUACUGCACACUUGUACCGCACAGUACUUGUACCGCACACUUGUACCGCACCUUUGUACUGCACCCUUGUACUGCACACAUAUGCCUCCUAUAUAAAGGCACUGAUGUAUACUCUUUAAAUCACAGAAUAGAAUACAAUUAUUCUAUAUUUCUAACAUGGUAUCAGAGCCAUUGCUCUGACCUUUUUCUUAGCAGUCUUGUCUUCAUUAGCGUGACUUCCUUCUUUCACUAAACGCUUCCGCCAUCACAACUGCUGCUGUAGCCUCUUUCCGUUGAACCUCCGACAUCAUCCAGUCGUCGUCCUUGGGUUUCGGACCUGCAGCCGCCGUCGUUAAGAAGUUCCACACUGCACAGACCAUUGCCCUUUGCAUCACCGCUGCGAAUAUUGCUCCGAUUUCAUUUUUGAAGGUACCACUGAGAUCGUCCAGCGCCGAUCUACACAUUCGUGGAUAUCUCGCCACCAUCGGAGACCGCACACACCUCCACGCGCCUCCAUGCACUGCCAUGUCAGCCCUAGCUGCGUCAGCAUCCACUGAUCUGCUGACGUCAUCUUCAGUCGUUGACCGUUGACCAGUCGUUGACCUUUGACCAGCCGUUGACCGUUGACUUUGACCGUUGACCAUUGACUUUGACCGUUGACUUCCCAUUUAACUUUUUCCCGACCAGGUUCUCCUUACCCAGUUUUUCGUGUAGAUUUCAUUUCUGCAGUCGGUUUUUGCAUAUUGUGUCCCUAAAUGGAUAAGAAGGAUGUUUUUCUUCCUCGUCCCAUCCAUACUGUAUUGGAGGGGACUAAAAAUUACUUAUCCUGGUCUCAAGCUAUGCGCAGUUUUCUUAAGAGCCGCAUGCUCUGACAUUAUUGUACUGGUGCAAUGACUAUUCUUGUCAAGGGAGCAAGUGAAGAAGAUGCUGCCUUUCUUAGUCGCAUGAUUGAAUGGGAUAGUCAUAACCACAUGAUCCUCACAUGGAUUCGGAACACUUCCAUUCCCUCUAUUUCCAAUCUAUUGGGCAGCUUUGACGAUGCAAAAUCUGCAUGGGAUAUGUUGACCAAAAGGUACUCCACUACUCAUGGAUCCAUGAAAUAUCAGUUAGUGGUUGAAUUGCAUCAACUCAGGCAAGAACCGGGGCAAUCCAUCAAUGACUAUUAUGAACAGCUUCGCUUCAUUUGGGACCAAAUUGACCUUUCUGAUCCAACUUGGGCAUGCUCAAAAGAUGCUCAGCAAUAUGCUUCCAUCAGAGAUGAAUUUCGCCUCUAUGAAUUCUUGAUGUCACUUCACAAGGACUUUGAGCCCAUUUGUGGUCAGCUGCUAAAUCGCAGUCUUGCUCCCUCUCUUGAUAUUGCUGUGAAUGAGUUGGUUAGAGAAGAAGCUCGUCUUGCAACCCUUCAAGCCCAGAAUAAGCUCAAUAUUUUGGCUAUUACUCCAUCUACUCCACUCAUAGAGCAACCUCAGCAAUUAGGUGAUUUUUCUGGCUCUAGCAAUCGUCGCAAGCAAACCAACAAGAAGUUCUGCAACUAUUGCAAGCGUCCUGGCCACACCAUUGAGACUUGUUACCGUCGUAACAAAUCUACUGUUGCUGUUGCUAAUACUGAACCUACUCCGCCAACGGUUUCCACGUCCCAGUCUUCUGGAUCUACUAUCAACCUCUCCUCCACUGAACUACAGGAGAUCAUAGCUCAGGUUGUUCGUAUGGCUGGUAAUGCAUCUCUUUCCACUGCCUUAUCUGUUCUACCUGGUAAGUCUCAAACUUGGCUCUUUGAUUCUGUCUGCUGCAAUCACAUGACACCUCACUCAUCCAUGUUCUCCAAACUUGACCCUGCACCACAUCCUCUAAAUAUUCAUAUAGCCGAUGGUUCCACCAUGCAUGGAAAUAGUCUAGGUUUUGUUUCAACCUCUACUCUUUCUGUUCCUGGAGUCUUCCACGUACCUGCCCUAUCCUAUAAUUUGUGCUAUGUGGGACAAUUAGCUGAACUAGGUUAUCGCCUUAUUUUUUACUAUUCUGGGUGUAUUGUGCAGGAUCCGAGGAUGGGGCAGGAGCUUGGGACCGGUCCUAGAGUUGGGCGUAUGUUUCCUGUGAACAAUCUUCAUCUUCCACCUGUUGCUCCUGUUUUUGUUGUUGCUGCAACAGCUGCAGUUUCUUCCUUACCUUCUCUUGCACUUUGGCAUUCUCGUCUUGGUUAUGCACCAUCUUCUCGGGUACAACAGUUAGUGUCUAGAGGUCUGUUGGGUUCUGUGUCUAAAGACAAUUUUGAUUGCACUUCAUGUCAGUUAGGAAAACAGCCAGCUUUGCCUUUUAAUAACAGUGAAUCCAUUUCUAAAAGUAUUUUUGAGUUAAUUCAUUCUGAUGUUUGGGGACCUUCUCCUGUUGCUAGUAUUGGUGGAUCUCGAUAUUUUGUUGUUUUUAUUGAUGAUUAUUCUCGUUAUAGUUGGAUUUUUCCUAUGAAAUCUCGUUCCGAAAUUUUAUCAAUAUAUAGCAACUUUGCAAAAAUGGUUGACACUCAAUUCUCCAAACGUAUCAAAACCUUUCGAUCUGAUAAUGCUCUUGAAUACACUCAACAUGCAUUNNNNNNNNNNNNNNNNNNNNNNNNNNNNNNNNNNNNNNNNNNNNNNNNNNNNNNNNNNNNNNNNNNNNNNNNNNNNNNNNNNNNNNNNNNNNNNNNNNNNNNNNNNNNNNNNNNNNNNNNNNNNNNNNNNNNNNNNNNNNNNNNNNNNNNNNNNNNNNNNNNNNNNNNNNNNNNNNNNNNNNNNNNNNNNNNNNNNNNNNNNNNNNNNNNNNNNNNNNNNNNNNNNNNNNNNNNNNNNNNNNNNNNNNNNNNNNNNNNNNNNNNNNNNNNNNNNNNNNNNNNNNNNNNNNNNNNNNNNNNNNNNNNNNNNNNNNNNNNNNNNNNNNNNNNNNNNNNNNNNNNNNNNNNNNNNNNNNNNNNNNNNNNNNNNNNNNNNNNNNNNNNNNNNNNNNNNNNNNNNNNNNNNNNNNNNNNNNNNNNNNNNNNNNNNNNNNNNNNNNNNNNNNNNNNNNNNNNNNNNNNNNNNNNNNNNNNNNNNNNNNNNNNNNNNNNNNNNNNNNNNNNNNNNNNNNNNNNNNNNNNNNNNNNNNNNNNNNNNNNNNNNNNNNNNNNNNNNNNNNNNNNNNNNNNNNNNNNNNNNNNNNNNNNNNNNNNNNNNNNNNNNNNNNNNNNNNNNNNNNNNNNNNNNNNNNNNNNNNNNNNNNNNNNNNNNNNNNNNNNNNNNNNNNNNNNNNNNNNNNNNNNNNNNNNNNNNNNNNNNNNNNNNNNNNNNNNNNNNNNNNNNNNNNNNNNNNNNNNNNNNNNNNNNNNNNNNNNNNNNNNNNNNNNNNNNNNNNNNNNNNNNNNNNNNNNNNNNNNNNNNNNNNNNNNNNNNNNNNNNNNNNNNNNNNNNNNNNNNNNNNNNNNNNNNNNNNNNNNNNNNNNNNNNNNNNNNNNNNNNNNNNNNNNNNNNNNNNNNNNNNNNNNNNNNNNNNNNNNNNNNNNNNNNNNNNNNNNNNNNNNNNNNNNNNNNNNNNNNNNNNNNNNNNNNNNNNNNNNNNNNNNNNNNNNNNNNNNNNNNNNNNNNNNNNNNNNNNNNNNNNNNNNNNNNNNNNNNNNNNNNNNNNNNNNNNNNNNNNNNNNNNNNNNNNNNNNNNNNNNNNNNNNNNNNNNNNNNNUGAUGACCUUAGUGGCAUUCAAGAACUCAAGGAUUUUCUCAGUCAGCAGUUUGAGAUGAAAGAUCUUGGACAUCUCAGCUAUUUCUUGGGUCUUGAAAUUACUCAUUCCACAGAUGGUCUUUAUAUUACUCAAGCCAAGUAUGCUUCUGACCUGUUGUCUCAAGCUGGACUCACUGACAGCAAAACUGUUGACACUCCAGUUGAACUUAAUGCGCAUCUGACACCCUCGGGGGGGAAACCAUUGUCUAAUCCUUCUCUUUACAGACGAUUGGUUGGCAGCUUAGUUUACCUCACAAUUACUCGUCUAGACAUCUCUUAUGCUGUUCAUCAGGUAAGCCAGUAUUUGUCUGCUCCACGAUCAACUCACUAUGCUGUUGUUCUGCGCAUUCUUCGAUACCUGAAGGGUACCCUUUUUCAUGGCCUUUUCUACUCAGCUCAGUCUCCUCUUGUACUCCGUGCAUUCUCAGAUGUUGAUUGGGCAGGAGAUCCUACUGAUCGCAGGUCCACUACAGGUUAUUGCUUCCUCCUUGGUUCUUCUUUGAUUUCUUGGCGAAGUAAGAAACAAACUUUUGUGGCCCGCUCCAGUACUGAAGCAGAAUAUCGUGCCCUUGCUGAUACCACAUCUGAGCUCCUUUGGCUAAGAUGGCUUCUUAAGGAUUUGGGUGUAUCCACCUCCUCUGCUACUCCUCUUUAUUGUGACAACCAGAGUGCUAUUCAUAUUGCUCACAAUGAUGCCUUUCAUGAACGGACUAAACACAUCGAGAUUGAUUGUCAUUUUAUCCGUUAUCAUCUUGUCCAUGGUGCUCUUAAGCUUUUCUCCGUCUCCUCCAAAGAUCAACUUGCAGAUAUCUUCACCAAGUCUCUUCCUAAGAGACGCACUCGUGAUUUAGUUGACAACCUCAAGUUGGUCUCACAUCCACCUUGAAGUUGAGGGGGGCUGUUAAAGUAUAUUAUGUUAUGGACUCUAGGCCCAGUUAGGUUACUUGUAUAGUACUUGUACUGCACACUUGUACCGCACAGUACUUGUACCGCACACUUGUACCGCACCUUUGUAUUGCACCCUUGUACUGCACACAUAUGCCUCCUAUAUAAAGGCACUGAUGUAUACUCUUUAAAUCACAGAAUAGAAUACAAUUAUUCUAUAUUUCUAACAAUGAGAAUCAUCUUUACAAAUUCAGCAUCAUCAUCUUUCAAAAACUUGGCUCCUUCUCAAGUUCCGGGCCAGAACACCUGUCAACUGGAACAUCCAAGUCUGGGACUUUUUUCCCAAAGCUGAACUGAUUGUACUUCUGACUGAAAGCACGGCCAACUGUGUCAAGAAACAAGCUGCCAACUCCUCCAUGAAAAGAAACCAAGUCCACAGUCCACGGGAGCAACCAUCCUCCUCGGGCUAAGAGAAAAUCUGUGGGUCUUCCUCAACUAAAAAUUCCAGGAAUCAAUUGCAGAAGAACAAGUGACCUCACAAUCAAGACCUCAGACCAGAGCAUAUUAAGGUGACCAUGCAUGGCCAUGCAGAAGAGCACACGUGGAAGUAAUAAGGUGCUUAGGCACUGAUGUUGAAGCUGUCCCAACCUCCAAUAACUUCUAUGGUUUUAAUUCCCCAUUCUUCCAAUCGUGAAUGGCAAGGAUUUCAGUGUCACUAGCAUGAACCCCUGGUAUACUUGUGGCAUCUUUGGAUCCCUUCCGGACUCAUUUCUCCUAUGAUUGCCAUACCCAAUACAUUAGAAAAGGAGCACUCAGCAGUGUCAUCCACGUCAGUCUUCAUGGAAGCCGAACCAAAUUCCAUAUUUUAUUUUGAUAAUGAGAAUUCAGAUUCUUCAAGUUUUCGGAGUUGUAAUUCACUAGCAACUUAGCAGUUAUAAACAUCGAGCUUUUUCGGAAUUGAAGAAGACUUCUGGCUAAUUGGGCCAUAUCCCAAUUCUAAACAAACUAUCAAUUCCACCAUUCUCAAGGAGUUGUUCCGAGUGAUUUUGGGAUACACACCAGAGUUCAUCAUAGUUCUAUUUUGGAAAUUGUGCAGAAUCAAUUCUCAGUCGUGGGCUUUCUGUGCUGGUUCCUACUGUAUGCCAGUAGGCUUGCUUCUCCUUGAAGACGUGGGCUGAUUUCCUGGGACUUGGCUGCAUUAGCAUGAGAUGCAGCUUCUUUCUCUCAUGGACUUCAAUCAAAAGCUUGCACUGUGAUAUGCCAAUUGCCACCACAUCUAAAUAUCAAGGAGUUGUCAUAUUCUAUGAAAUAAUCUCUCACAAAGAUUGGCCCUCCAUCAUGCAAGAAUAAGUCAUUAUUCUACUGAAUCAAGUCAGCAUGCCAAGUGUUAUCACCUGGGCUUACUAAUGAAAUUGCACCAUCUGUAUGUGUCUGUGAGGCCUUUUUAGUUUUUUGAUGAUGUGAUGGAGAUUAGGUGAGUCUAAACUGCUCUCCAGAGAUGAAGCAACAAUCCCAGGAACAUCUUCCUGGCCAACCAUAUGCAGAAAAACAAGGAACCCGAUUAAUGAACUCAAUGUUUUCAUCGUAAUGAAGGCACCACGCCAUCUAGAUGCCCAGAUUUGCUAGCUUGAAAGUCCUCCCAAAGAAUCUACUCCAUGAACAACAAUAGAACUACUGGAUUCUAACAAUGAUUGAUCACUAAAAUCACCUACAGUAGGUGAAGCUUCGGAAAACUCCCCUGGUCGAAGAGGUACUUGCGCUGGCAACUGGGUGAGCAAGUACAAGUGAUCCCAUAAAUUAGUUAUGACAGAGAUUUAUAUGCGUAAUAGUUGGAGAAAUACUGGAUAAAAAAAAAUAAUAAUAAUUUGUUUCUACCAACCAGAAUUCACUAGCAUAUUCCCACUAAAGUUAACAUGAAUGGCACUUGAAAAUUGCAAGAAUUCUUUAUCCACAUGAACAUUGAGCAUACUCCCAUGCAAGUCAAGCAUUUCAAGUUUUGAAAGCAGCUUGAAACCUUUUGGGGAACCUCUUCACCAGUACUAAAUAAAAAUAUAACAGCAUUCUUGAAUCCAUGAGCCCCUUAAGAAAUAUCCCGAGCAAGUUCCAACAUAGCAGUUACCCACGAACUACAGUCACCAGCUCCUUCAAAAACAGUUUGCACCAGAUUUUGCAUGAAAACAAUCCACUUGAACAGCAUCCUCCCAGUUAGCCAUGUUCUUAAUCUUUUUUGCCUCUGUCAAAGCAUACUGGAGUGCGUCAUCAAGAGCAUCAGAACCAAUAGAAUGGAGAUCCAUCUAGAUUGUUAGGAGAAGUUAGGAAUAUCCAUUUCGGCCUCUCUUUCUAAACAACAUCAGCAAUGAGUUCUGUAUUCGGGCUGAAGUUUCAUCAAUUACUGCUGUGAUGGCAGUUGUGACUGCUGCCCUUGUGUUGCCUAGUUAUCUGCUAAGGAAGGAUCAAACCACCACCAGUUAUGAAAGCUUUCAGAUUUGGCCUUUGAAAUGGCUCCAAGAAGCUUCCUACUGAUUCCUGAUCCGUGUAGGCCGAUUUCAAUGGGAAAAGUGUCUGUUCUAUUUGCGUAUCAGACACUUUGUCACCAAGGCCAAGAACUUCUGAGGUAUUUCCCUGUUGUCGCUCUCUUUGCAUGAUACCAUCACUAAUGUUCAAUCCUAUCUUCAAAGUGGCUUUUCUGCUAGUGGGUCCUGCUCUGUUCCAAAACUAUUGCUAACAGAGGAACUUUGAAAAUAUUCUUCUGAUCCAUCAGCACCUUGAAUUCGAAUCUGAUUGUUGGUUUCACAAAUAUCCCUAACAACACUCUUUCCUCUGACUUACCAAGGUUCCUUAAAACACUGAAAACUGCAGAACCACUUUUAAGGUACUCAACUGAUUCAUCAGUAACUUGGACGCGAGUAAUGAUCACAUGAAUUUCUUCCACAUUUUCUCCUUUACAUCUUUCUCGCUCCGAAACUCGUUUGCAACACUCUCUGGUCCAUGAGUCAUCAGGUGCUUUAAGCAGGUUCAGGGAAUUGUAAGAGGCCCUCCAAUUCUUCUUAUCAAAUCUCAACCAUCUACUGUGCAGAAUCUCCACAAUUCUUCCAUAAUCAGGUCGUGAGUAUAAAUUUGCCAUAAUGACACUAUUACCUGUGUUUUCAGGCUCCAUCUCGAACAAAUGAUCAGAAACAAACUUCCCAAGUUCGACAUCACCAGAAACUGAAACCCCAUUGAGCAGUGCACCCUAGAUUUUGGCAUUUGGUUCAACUGACAUAUUAGAAAUGAAUUAUGUUGCUUCUGAGAGCAUUCCAACUCAGCUUACAACUCCUACCAUUCAAACAUAAUGUUCAACAGAGAGCUCAAUGCCAUAUUUUUGAAACAUCUCAUUAAAUACCUUCGAAGCUCUGUUGACCAUCCAGGGAUGGGCACAAGCUGCUAACACUGCAAUGAAAGUGGCAUGAUCAAGCCUAGUUCCAGAUUGAAUUCCCUGUGCUGCUGCUUUCUGAAAGAGAUACUCCUUUGUCUACUUCAACAACCUUCCUGGAGAACUUCUUCUCUAAUUGAUGGGGUUCUGUAUGUUUCCGAUGAAGGGAAUGCACUCUGGAGGAAGAACUCAAGCUUGACACAACAAAGCUGUAGACGAACAUUCCCUGGCAUCAACUUCCAUUUGUGCAGACCCAUAUGAGGACGAUCUCAACUAGUACGAAUAAUUCUGAAUUCCUUCUCCAUAUCUGAUGAAAAUUGGUGACUUAAAGCAAGCUGAAGCAUCUUAUCAUAUAGAUACAGGGCACAAUCUCUCAUACCAAUAGAUGUCUACUGACCAACCUGAGAUUUUCUGUAACACUCCUCAAAUAAUCAGUUUCUGCAUAUUUAAUGAAACAGGUGCAGCUUUCAUGAAAUUUUUUGGAAAAGUUCUCAUGGCGCUUCUCAUCAGAAUCUUUGACCACAAGAAUUUCAAGCAGUGGGGUUCCUGGAGAUGCAAUAACCAGCUGUCUAGGACUGUGAUUCCUGCCAACAAAUCUUCCCACACUAGAAGUUGUAUGAACUGAUUUACUGGAGGGAUCAUGCACCACUUCCACUAAUAUUUGACUUGUCAUCUAAGCAAGAAUGGUUAGAUGAAACCAUGUAUGAUGAUUGCUCACUGAUCUAUUCCAGAAAAAGCAGGCUUUGUCUGAUCAAAAGGAAGCUGUAGCUUGCCCUUGUAGAAAUUUGAAAGUGCACAAGUAACGUUCCUGAGCAUGUACAGCUUUGCACGCUAGUUCAAUUGUGCUAGCAAAGUAAGCAGAGCCCCAUUGCCAAGGACAAGAUCACCGCAUUUGAAAUCUCAUGAUGCCACCAGUAAGCUUGUUGUCCUUUUGAAAUCCAGCGCAGAUCUCUUCAAGAAUUAGACCAAGGGAAACAGUUAUAAAAUAGUACCAGAUUAUCAGUUAAUUUCAACUAUGAUAUAGAUUUUUGAAUUGAACCCGUAAGCGUUUUUGCACUCAGAUCCAGAGAUGUUGUCUUCUUGCAAUUGAAAAGGUCCAAAGGGAUCCACUCGAUUGGUUUCCAAGGUCCUCUCUUGAAACAGAAUCAUUUUCUACAAAAAUCACCAUCCAGGCAAUCGUUGGGCAUUAUGUCAGAAUUUCCAUCACAAAUGAAUUUCUUGGUAGCACCAUUAGUAGUCUCAACACUCAAGCUCACUGAAUCAACUCCUUCACUAGCCUAUUCAAGUGUUCAAUAGCAGCAAGGAAUUCCUCAUAGUCUAUUGUUCCACUGUCGUCAAUCUCAGCUGCAUCCAAUGUUGUGUCAUCCUUGAGAAUCUUUCCAAAUGCAAUCAACUGAUAACAUAGCUCAUAUAGUGUCCACUGAUUCAAUUUGCACAGCCUUGGCCAAAGGCACUUUUGAAUGGACUCCAGCAUAGGGCACAGUUCCAAGAGAUACAACUGAAGCAGCUCUAGUAGUGGUUGGAGAGGGACUCGUCCUAAUCUCUCAGCCACUCGACCAAUAUUUAUGUCCCUGGAAAAGCAAAUGGAUGAAGUGUUAACAGCCUCACAUUUUCCACACUGUGCAUACAUAUCUGCCAGUGCAUUCCCCGAGAACAAGCCCAAGACCAUCCCACUGACUGAUUAAUUAAUCAAUCCACUUCCCCAGAUCAAGUGCAUCAAAAAACUAAAGAGAAGGAACAGAGAAGAACCAGAAAAAGCAAACAAACAAUAUAUGAACCAAGAAAAGCCACAUCUGAUGCUCUUUCAAUGGGCUUGGACUGGUGGGAAGAGUAGAUUCAAACAAGAAAAAAGCAACCAAUAUCUUCAAAUAAGGCAAAAUGAAACAGAGCUUCACAGUUCUUGCCCAGCCAAAGAAUCCCUCUUCCCUAAAACAAAACCUCACUCCAAAAAUCCUCUCUCCGUGAACUUUUCUUCCUAUGCAAGCCUCUCCCUAAAACCUCGAAUCCUCCCGCCCUCUGCCUCACACUGUUCUAAAACCUUCUCAACCAGAAGGAUCCCCAUACUUCCUACCUCACUGCACUCUAACCAACCUCUACAGCCCACAGCUCUCUCCGUGUGUUUUUUUUCAUUUUUUUUCUUCUUCUCCGGUCCCUCUAAGACCAGUUCUUUGCAGCAGCUUCUCCACUCUCUCUAUUUCCUUUCUAACAGCCAAAAAACUGCUCACUAAAGCUAGCUGUCCCCCUGUAGCCCACUACUAGUCUGCAGAAAAGUGCCCCCUCCAGGUGGCAAAAGGAAGCUGCUCACAAAGGGCCCGAAAAUAGCUUGAAACUAUAAAAGGGAAGAAUAGGAUGAGGUCACAUGUCCUCGUCCUAAGUCACGCUUUCAAAAGCCCUAAAAUCCUUGAAAAUGAACUCUAAAAAAACUAAUCUUAAAGGACCUUUAAUAAUUGUAUUGGGACCAAAAUAAUCUUGUAAUGAUCUCCAAAUUGUAAUUCAAAAAUCAAUAAUAAGCCAAAUAGGUAUAAAGUGAGAGGAAAAAUAAUAAUAAAAAUACAUGUAUUAUGAGGAAAAAAUUAAAGGAUAAACUUUAUUUUUUCUAAUUUAUGCCAAUAAAAAUUUAUAUACAUUAUAUAUAUAAGUUAUAAAUAUUUUCUAAUUCUAACCAUAAAAAACAAGAACUACAUCAUUAUUAAUUUAAUUUUUUUUUCACUCAAUUUUUCUACAAAUAAUCUACCAAUAAAAAAAUAUAUAUUUUAUUUUUCCUAACUUUUCCGUUUAUCCUACUUUUCAUCUUUAUCUUGGCCUUUUGUUCGUGACUUUUCCUCCUAACCGCGUUGAUAGUCGGUACAAUCAUUAUUAGUGAUGACUUAAAGACAGGAGACGGUGGAAGACCAGGAAGCAGAAGGGGUUGACUCUUGAGGAUUUGGAGUUUUACGGCCACGGUGGUGGGUGGUACUGAGCGGCAACUGCAGAUAAGGGACGGGGCUGCUUUAGCCUUGUAGUAGGUGAGUGUUGUUAUUCAAUUAUGCCUUCCUGUUGACCUGUAAUUUCAAUUUGUCAAGAGGUGAAAUAAAUUGGAACUAGUUUAUAAUCAUAGAGAUGUAGUUGGAUCCUGCAGGUUUAAUAUCUAUAUUUAAUUAAGAAACAAUGGUUUCUGAUCUGGAGGCUAGUCUUAAGAUUGAGUUAGCGAAGAGCCUGGCCAGCAGUUGGGAAGAAGUUGUAAAGAUAUACGAGCGAGAACAAAGAGCUCACAAGAUCAAGAUCAGCCAAUCGGGGAACACAGCAUUGCAUAUAGCAGUUUCAUGUGAGCAAGAAUACACAGUAGAACAACUAGUGAAAUCGAUUGCUAGGAAUGGGCAUCUAAGGGAUGUUCUAUCUAUAGAGAAUGGAGAUGGGAACAAUCCUCUCCAUUUGGCAGCCUCACUGGGAAGCAUUUCCAUGUGCAAAUGCAUCACUGAUGAGUGUAAAGAACUGUUGGGUCGCCGCAACGGAGAGGGUGAUACGCCCCUUUUAAGGGCAGUUCGCUAUGGCAAGAAAGAGGCUUUCCUCUGGUUGUACGGUAUGUGUGAAGGCAACACAGCCACUGGCUACUGUAAGAACGACGAUGGUAAAAACGUGCUCCAUCUUGCCAUUGAAGGAGGACACAUGGGUAAGCAAUAUUAGGGUGCUGUUCUUCAGUCUACAUGUUUUAUUUCUUAAUUAUAAUAUUAGGUUAAAUCAUGGUCUGUGGUGGACGGACAGAUUUGGCGUUUCAAAUUAUUCAAAAGGAGGAAGAUCUCAUGGACUCUUUUGACCGUGAAGGAAUCUCCCCUCUGCAUGUCCUAGCUGAGAAGCCUACUGCAUUCAGAAGCGGAAUUCAUUUCAGCUUGCUCAACAAAAUCAUGUAUCAUUGUAAGAUUCUCCCUACCAAUCGAAAAACUUGGGGCUGAAUUGAAUCCAGCGCGUGCAUCAUUUGUUAUCUUGUAUCUUAUAUCUCCAUCAAGGCCAUAAAUUUCUGACAGUUGCCCUUGUUAAUCAAAUUGGAAAGGUAUUUUUGUUGAAGAGCUCGUCCCAGGGGCUCCCAAAGCAAAGAGACAUCUUUCAAGACUACAGAGAUGAUUAAAUUACCAGUUGGGACUGAUCAUUUANNNNNNNNNNNNNNNNNNNNNNNNNNNNNNNNNNNNNNNNNNNNNNNNNNNNNNNNNNNNNNNNNNNNNNNNNNNNNNNNNNNNNNNNNNNNNNNNNNNNCUUUUGACCGUGAAGGAAUCUCCCCUCUGCAUGUCCUAGCUGAGAAGCCUACUGCAUUCAGAAGCGGAAUUCAUUUCAGCUUGCUCAACAAAAUCAUGUAUCAUUGUAAGAUUCUCCCUACCAAUCGAAAAACUUGGGGCUGAAUUGAAUCCAGCGCGUGCAUCAUUUGUUAUCUUGUAUCUUAUAUCUCCAUCAAGGCCAUAAAUUUCUGACAGUUGCCCUUGUUAAUCAAAUUGGAAGGUAUUUUUGUUGAAGAGCUCGUCCCAGGGGCUCCCAAAGCAAAGAAGAACAUCUUUCAAGAACUACAGAAGAUGAUUAAAUUACCAGGUGGGACUGAAUCAUUUAGAAGAAUUUUUUUCUUUUUGUGGCUUCCUGUUCACUUUCUUAAUGCUGCAACCAUAAUUCAUUGUCAAGGUAGUUAAUUAGUAUGAGACAGUAACAAAUAUGGUCAUAAUUCAUUGUCAAGGUAGUUAAUUACUAUGAGACAGUAACAAAUAUGGUCAUAAUUCAGCAUAAGAGAUGUCAAUCGAUCCCUCUUUCAGUGCUUUCUUGCUCAUGUGUGCUGUGACCAAUCUGUACCCCAAGUAACUAGUGGAAAAAAAUGCAGGAAAAUCUAAAAAGCACUUGGAUCAAGAGAAUCCUGAAGAAGGGCAAGGUAUUGAACUUCAUGGUGAGUGUUGGAUCUACUUGAUUUAGGCUAAAGCAAUCUUAAAAGCAACUUCAAGGAAACACUGAUUCCUACAACUUUGUAUAGGUCAUAAUUCAAGCAAUAUUGGAGCUCAAGGACACAUACCAUUCCUCUCAAAAUAUGGCAGAUGCCUGAGGUUCAUCAAGCUUCUUGUAUCCCAAGUACUGCUGGUUAUCAUCUCCGUGCUGCCAGGUAUAACACCAUAUUAAUCACCAUCCCAAAUUUCUCUUGUAUUAAUUUCCAAAACAAUAUAGGUUCAAAGUAUGUUCUUAUUUCUUUGUGGAUACAUGUUUAGGUUCAAGUCAGAUAAAGAAGCUAAAAGAGAAAAAGGAGAUGCAUGUGUGGUCUCUUCAGAUCAUGAACAAACUACUUGAACAUGCUGAGAGGCAUACAUAUAAAAUGAAUCCCAAAUAUGAUGAGCCAAGCCGACGUCAUCAUGAUUGUUGUAUUUCAGAGUAUGGAUACUUCCGAAGGGGAGGAGGUAGCCUCUAUGUCAACCCUGUUCAUUACAAAUAAACUUCUUGGUAUAUAUAUAUAUAUAUAUAUAGAAAGAUGCGGAGACAAGGUAACUGACCACCCUCUCCAAUAUCUUUAACCGAUAUUGAGGAGAGGCAGAUCCGGUGCAGAGUAAUCACAAUUCAAAUUCUUCAGAUUUUGACCAUUGCUAUCAGUCUGUCGGUCAAUUGGGCUUUCUCUUGUGGUAGAAGAAUGAAUUUUGUUUUCUUUGCAGCUUUGGAGACGCCAAUACUAGUUGCAUCAAAGAAUGGUAUCAUGGAAAUGGUAACGAAAAUCCUGGAACUGUUUCCUAUGGCCAUUUAUGACACCCACAAAGAAAAUUGGAAGAACAUAGUGCUGAUGGCAGUAGAGAAUAGGCAAUCACAUAUAUAUGACUUCUUACUCAACAGAAAGCAUCUUCUUGAUAGAGAAAUUGCAUUUCGUGCUGUUGAUAACCACAGAAAUACUGCAUUACACCUAGCUGGAAAGCUAGCAGGUUACCACCACCGCCAGCAUAUCCCCACCAGCAUGUUGCAAAUGCAGUGGGAAGUCAAGUGGUACCAGGUAUGCAAAACUCAAGCCAAGCUUUAAAUUAGCUUUCAAGAAAUGACUGUCAAUUGAUGAAUAAUAACUUAAAUUAUGCACUUGGUUCAAUGCAGUACGUGCAGAAUUCCGUGCGAUUUGAUAUUAAAAUAAAUCGGGAUGAAUGUACUCCAGAUGAGAUCUUCCAAGGAGAACAUGAAAAUCUUGAAGAUGAAAGCAAACGAUGGCUAAAUAGCACAUCCAAUUCCUGUUCUUUCAUUGCAGCACUCAUAGCAACUGUUGCCUUUGCCUCAUCAGCCUCUGUGCCUGGUGGAGUAAACCAAGACACAGGGGUACCAAUUCUUCUACACCAUCUGGCUUUCAGUAUUUUUUCAAUGUCAUCCCUACUUGCUCUUAGCUGUUCAAUGAUCUCCUUGCUAAUAUUCCUCGCCAUUUUCGUCUCCAAGGACCAAAACCAAGAUUUUACUAGAAACUUGCCGAGGAAAUUUUUGCUUGGUUUAACCUCUCUCUUCAUAUCCAUAGCGGCCAUGUUGACCUGUUUCUGCUCUGGGAACUUCUUGAUGCUUAAGCAUCAAUUAAAAUAUGCUGCAAUUCCGGUAUAUGCACUCACCGGCUUGGUAAUGGCAUACUUUGUUCUGAAGCACUUUCCAUUAUUUAUUGAUCUUAUGAAGGCUACAUUUCGUAAGGUGCCUGAGCGUAUAUACAAGGAGUAUCUGUAGAUUGCUUUCGAUCUGGGCGCAAGGAGGACCUUAUGCCAUGGUGAUGGCCAGAUCUGAUGAUGAUGUAAUUUUUCAGUUGUUUUGUGUCUUUCAAAUUUAUAUAUGACUGUAAUAUUCCUCCUGGAGUACAGAUUCUUAUCAAAUUGAUUGAUAACACGCAAACAAUGGUGACUUCGUUAAGCCUCCCAUUCUCCCCUUGCAUUCCCGUAAAGGCCUCCAAAGCUCUAUUCAUCUCUCCGUUUCUCAUAAACACCCAUCAAUCAUUGCUGUCCAACAAGCCGUAUCCUUACUCCCGACCAGACCAAAAACAGUACCAGCUCCCUCAACCAGAGUCCCUGAUCACUAUAGAGAGGAGAUCAGCACGGUGGACGCGAUAACAUCUUCAGGCAUUUCAUCAAACAUCCAACGUGCAUCCCCCGGUUCCCCUCAUUUUCCGUAAAACUCCAUCAUCCUCAACUUCACCAAACGGUUUGAGCAGGAGCCCAGCUUCAUAGGCCGGCCCGGCUGUGGAUCUCUUUCCCCUCCCUUAAAGCCGAUUGGGAGCCACAUGCUUUCAAAUUAGGAUUCGUAAAGGAAAAGUUAUUAAUAUAUACCCGUAUUCCUAUCUUAAUAAAAAUAUGAGAGACUAAUAAUAAAUCAAAAGGUUAUAUUAACGAGAAAAAUAUAAGGAUGAGAAAAAGCUUUAUCAAGUAAAAGGAUAAAAAUCAAAUAUAAUUAAAACUAGUUAAAAAUUUAUAUAUUUUUAAAUUAUUUAAUAUUUAUAUCAAUAAACUAAAAUAAUAAAAAUAAGUUUAAAAUAGUAAAUAAAAAUAAUUUAUCGACUUUUAACCUAUUUUUUAUUUUUCUUCACUUUUUAUUUCCUUCCACUUUUUUUUUUUUAUAUUUUAUUUUCUCAAUGUUUUUCCUCAAAUUUUUUGGAAACCAAACAUAACUUAUAGUCAAAUUGUUAAAAAAUAUUUAAUUUUACGACCUAAGUAUCAAUCAUUAUUCUCUAAAAUAAAAUAAAAAAUGAAGAUUACAAUAAAAUUUUCCUCCUCGUUUAACUCAAGAGUUUUUUUCUAUGUAAAGCUACUCAAUUUGUUUAAUACAUGAUAAUAGAACAAAAGUGGAGAACGUCAUUUUUGAUACUUGAAAAAUUAAAUAAUAAUAAAAAUUAAGAUAGAAUCAUAUAUAAUUAAAAUAACAUAAAUACGAAAAUUAUAAAUUUUAAUUUACAUAUAAUAGUAAUAAGAGUGAAGGAGCUUAAAGGCUAUGAGUUGAGUAUAGAUUGCAAGGGAUUGGUUGAUGUGUUUGAGUAUGUGCAACACAAAGAUUUUUUUUUUUGGAUACAUUAGAAUGAAUGUACCAAAUAUCGAUAAACUCAUAUAUCAUACUAUGAAGUAUUUAUUUAUAUUAUAAAACAAUUUUUCACGUUAUUACUAUCUUAUAAAUACAAACUAUGAAAAUAGAGAGAAGUUCCUUACUCCAUUUAUAGGAUAUCAUUUAAAUAAAUGGAAACCCAAGUUAAUACUAAAAUAUCGCGUUGAUGAAAGAUGGAAGCGGCUCAAGGUAUACUUUUGCUUUGUUUUUUGUUUUAUUUAUUUAUUUAGGUUUUAAUUUGUAUACAAAAAAUAAGAAUUAUUCACUUUUUUUAUUUCUAUUAUAACAUUGUUUAGGAGCAUUAGAUGAGGUAUACAUUAAGAUGAAUGUAAUAGAUAUCGAUAAACCCAUAUAUUGUAUUAUGAAGUAUUUAUUUAUAUUCUAAAAUAAUGCGUAUUUAUUUAUAUUCUAAAAUAAUGCAAUUAAAUUUCUUUGUUAGGUUAUUAGGUUAUCACUAAUGUUUUUAUCUAAUUUUAAAUGUCAUAAUAUAAAGUAACCUUCAUUUCUAUUAGCUUAGUGACAAAAAAAAGGUUAGAAUGCCAUGAAACAUAAAGAGAACUAAUAAUAAUAAUAAAACAGGUGAUCAGAAGGAAACUCCAUGACUCAAAUUUCAAUUCAAUAUCUAGUGGUCAUAAAGAUAGAACUCAUUGGCCAAACAACACAUUUGCUACUCAAACAAGUUGAUACCUUUGACGACACUGCAAAAUGGUAGCAUGUAUUGAACCAUCUUUUGACGACAAUAGGGGUUAAUGUAUAUAACAAUACCAAAUCCCAACAGGAUUAUUACGUAGAAUGCAACAAAACUAGCAUAAAAAAUGACAGGAUCCACAUCGUACCAUUUUAUUUCACUUUCAUCUGAUGGUGUUAAUGGCGAAUGUGACAACACUGCAACAAGGCUACAUAUUCUCUUUAAUAAUAACCCACAAAGAAAAGGAUUCCCAUCAUAGCUCUUCUUAUCAGAUGUAGAGAAUUGUGCUUUCUCCGCAACUCAACCUGACAAAUUAUUGUAAGCCAUAGUGAAUACUGCCAAAAAGUGCAUAUCAACCCGUGUUGAAGGAAUUUCUCCACUUAAAUUAUUGUAAGAGAGUUCUAGGCUUUCUAGUUGGAUCAGGUUGGAAAAACUACUUGGGACAGGCCCAGUUAAGCAGUUGUAAGACAAGGUCAAUGCUCGAGUCUGACCUAACCUUUCUAAGGUAAGGGGGAUUUCACUUGUUAGAUGAUAAAUCUAGUUCAACAUAAAAUUAAUUAUGCCUUCUUUGUAAGAGCUAGAUAACAAACUCGACUUCAACUUCUUUAUCCUCCAUUGGAAAUUAGUGUUGGAGAGGUUAUCAUCUCAGUAAUGCCAGGUAUAACACCAUAUUAAUCACCAUCCCAAGUUUCUCUAGUAUUAAUUUCCAAAACAAUAGAGGUUCAAUGCAAGUUCUUGUUUCUUUGUGGAUACAUGUUUAGGUUCAAGCCAGAUAAGAAAGCUAAAAGAGAAAAAAGAGAUGCACGUAUGGUCUCUUCAGAUCCUGAACAAACUACUUGAACGUGCUGCAAGGUGUAUAUAUGAAAUGAGUCCCAAAAAUGAUGAGGCAGUCCCACGUAAUUACGGUAUUCAUUACAAAUAAACUUCUUGAUGUGUAUAUAUAUAUAUAUAUAUAUAUAGAUAUAUAUAGAAAGCUGUGGAGACAAGGUAACCAACCACUUUCUCCAAUAUCUUUAACUGAUAUUAAGGAGAGUCAGAUCUGGUGCAGAGUAAUCACAACUCAAAUUCUUGAAAUUUUAACCACUGUUAUUAGAUGAUUGGUCCAUUGGGCUUUCUCUUGUAGUUGAAGAAUGAGUUUUCUUAUCUUUGUAGCUUGGGGGAUGACACCAAUACUAGUUGCAUCAAGGAAUGGCAUCGUGGAAAUGGUAGAAAAAAAUCCUGCAACUGUUUCCUAUGGCCAUUUAUGACACCGACAACAAUUCGAACAUAGUGCUGAAGGCAGUAGAGAAUAGGCAAUCACAUAUAUAUGACUUCUUACUCAACAGUAGUCUUCUUCUUGACAGAGAAGUUUCAUUUCACGCUGUUGAUCAUGACUGGAACAAUUUUGAAUGUCAUAAUACAUAGUAACCUUCAUUUCUUAGUAGUUAGAAUGCCAUGAAACAUAAAAGAACUAAUAAUAACAUUAAUUAAUAAAAUAGGUGAGAAGGAAACACCACUAUUCAAAUUUCAAGUCAUUAUCUAGUGGUCAUAAAGAUAGAACUUAUUGGCCAAAGCAACACAUUGGCUACUUACACAAACAAGCAGAUAACUUGUGGACGGUAUCAUUAGCAAAAUGGUAGCAUGUAUAUAUCCAGCGAGGGAUAUAUACAGCGUUCUCAAAGCCAGUGUUCUCAAACUCUUCAGGGUACCUAUCCAGCGAGGGAUCUCACCAGACAUGUGAUUAUUGCUGACAUCCAACAGCUCUAGCCAAGACAUUCUGGAGAUUACAUUUGACAGACUGCCAAUGAACUGGUUAUUGUUCACAAGCAGCCAAUGGGGAAAUCUCCUUGCUGAUUUGUUAUGAGAUAGAUCAACUAUUCUUAACUAGGAUUGGUGCCAAAGAAACCCAGGGAUAUGGCCACUUAGCUUAUUAAGAUUACACCCUGAUAAAACAAGGACCUUCAACUGAAACGACGGAACCCAACCCGGAAAUUCAGUUUCCACCUCUAAAUUGUCGUUAUUGUUGGCCAUUGAAACUACCUCUAGCUUGGAGAGAUUGGCUAACGAGCUGAACAAAAAUGAACCGUGAAACGAUUAUUACUUAGAUCCAUAAACUGAAGGCUUGUGAAGCUAGCUAUCAAGGAAGAAGAAAGAUUCGCAGUAAACAGGUUCCUAGAAAGAUCCAAGAAUCUCAGAGAUUUAUAUCAUUUUUAAGAUUGAAAUGAUAGAGAAUAGAUGGGUGUUUUUCAAGAGAACAAUCUUCUUCUCUUGUGUGUUGCAUGAACUCACCUUAAUUUCUAACACUUUUAAUUAGUUUUUAAAAAUAAUUAUCCUUUCAAGAUAAGUCUUCAAGAAUUAUUUUAUUUUAUAUUAAGACAAAAGAUGAAGUAAAUUCAUACACCUAAACUAGCGAGCUAGUCCUCUAAACGGAAUUGUUAGAGCCAAAAAAGAAAAAUGAGGAAUCCAAUGCUAGAUGUUUGUUUUAGCUAGGUACAUACCUUUAAUGGGUAAGGAGCUAUUGAGGUGAUUAGUUGACAAAGAUAAAGACUUGAGUGAAGCCAAGAUUCCAAUAGAUGGAGGAAUACUUCUAGUGAAAUCAUUCUUGCUCAUAUCUAUCAUCCCUAAAUGGCUGAAAGUUUUCAUGUCUGCAAAAAAGUUAAAUUUUAGAAUGAACAUAAAUAACAGACACUACUACAAAAAUUAUAAAUAACAACGCUCAAUUCCAUGACGCUUUUUAAAAGUGUCAAGGAAUUCAAGCAAUAAUGGCGCUUGUUCAAUAACGGCAUUUUUUAAAUAUUUAAGUUGGCGCUUGAAAUUUUUCCAUCAAUAUUGGCGCUUUACACAAUGAUGUUUUAAAAAGAUGGCAUUUUUUUUAAGUGUCGUUGUUGGGUUGGAUAUUAUGAACAACCUUAGUAGUGUUUUACAUAAGGAUGUUUUAAAAAAAUGGCGUUUUUUCUAAGCGUCAUUGUUAGGUUGGAUAUUAUGUAGUUAUAACAAGCGUCAUUAUCUCCUAUAUUAUAUAUAUAAACUCAUGUUUCCCUAUUUCUCAAACAUCCCAAACACCCUAAAUACCUCACCUCCUCUGAAAAACCUAACUUGUAUAAGAACGCUAAACCCAAAACCAUCCAUAAUUUGCUACCUUCAGCCAUCGAGAAACACAUUGGAGACCACCAACAAUCAAGGAACGACCUUCUUGGCUACUACCAACUGGCAGUCUUACCGGCGAUCGUUAGGAGUGCCUCACCAGAGACACCCAAAAAAAAUUUCACAUGCAUUUGGGGUCAUUGUAUUGGGUAACUUUCGCAUAAGGUAAAGAACAAUAAAUAAAAAGAAAAAGGAUUUGGUUCAUGUAUUUUCAAAUCUCGAACAUAGUUUUGUCUAUUACAGUUUCUGAUAUGUUACUCUGCUACUAGAAUCUUUGUAUUUCUAUUGGAAAGAUUGAGUUUUUGGUUUGUGUUCAGAGUGGUGCAAGAAAGCUCAAUGGAUGGAAAUGGGAAAGAAGGGGAAAUCUCGAUUGUGAAUAUUGGAGGUGGGAGUGUCUUUGUUUUGUAUUAGAAUAUUGGGGUUUCCUUGGUCUCUUCAAGAUAAAAGUAUUGUAGUGGUUUUGUAUUUUUGUAGGCCUGUUUUUGGUUAUGGAGAGUGGAUGACCCAACUAGAUCCGUAGAAAUUUUGUUUUUCAAAAGUAAAAUUUGAGGGUUUGAAUAUCUUGAGAUUUUAUUUGAGUUUAAUGUUUGUUUGGGUGUGUGCAGAUUUGACUUUGUUUUAGAUUUUAAAACCCAUUCAAGGCUUUGGUGAAAUGGGAUACUGAGAAGCAUGCUCUCAGUUCCUGAUUCGAAAGUGGAGUGCUUUGAUGGAAAAGUGGUUGUUUUGUGAGUGACUCUUCUCUGCAGAUUCAUAGCAUGAUAUUUAGUUUUCUCAGCUUUAAAAUUUUUUGGGUCUUCUAUUGUUUAUUGAUUUGGAUGGUUAAUGGUUAAUUUAUAUUUGGAAUUUAAUAAUAAAAUCUAGCUAUAAUAGAUGAUAGAACAAACUAAUCAUUAUUUUUUUUUAUAACAAAACCAAAAAACAUUAUACUUUAAUAAAGAAUAUGUAGUAUUCUUAUAUAUUAAUAAAUUUAAUUAUAUCUAUGUAAAUGAGUUCUUAAAAUUUUCAUUAUUAAAUAUCAUAAUUAAUUUCAAUAGUGAAUCAUUAAAUUGAUUCUCCUCAAUUUUUUAUAAUUUAUAAAGGAAAAACAGUAUAAUCUCUCUAAUAAAUUAAUAAUGAAUUAAGUAACUAUUUUUCAUUAUUUUGUUUAGGCAUUUGAAUAUAGUCAUUAAAAUGUUAUAUUUUUAUUAGUUAUUAAAAUGAGAUAAUGAAAAAUAAUUUUAUUUUAGGUGUAAUAUUUUUUAAAUAUUUAUCAUUUUAUUAUAUAGAAGACAAUGGAUCUUAAUUAUAAAAAAAUCGACUUAGUUUGAACAAUAGAAUAUUCAAACUUGAUCUAGGUGCCUUAGUGCCAUGACAUUGCAUAAAGUUGAAACAUUCACAUUAUUGAAAACCUUAAAUUUAUGGUAAAUUUUUUUGGUCCCAAAAUAUAUAUUUUAAGAUAUUAAAAUUUUAAUUUAUGGUUUAGUUUAAUAAUUUGAAAAGUGAUGACUUUCCAUUUAUGCAAAUUUAUUGAAUUACUGUGAGUACAUAAUAAGAUAAAUAGUAAGGCAAUUCUUUGAAGCAAUGCUUUGACCCUGAGUAGGUUAAGUAUUUUAGGAUGCUCACAAAUUCUUUCAAUUUUUUAACCUUGCUUAUUUGUAUGACAUUUAUUGAUUCUUUGACCUUGCUUUUCCUAUAAUAUUAGACUUAUCUUUACACUAUUAAAUUAGAUAUCACAGUACAUUCAAUAAGUAUUUAAUUAUAGUAAAAUUUUGGAGUACUAGUAUUAAAUUAAAGUUUUGUAUGUGAUCAUAUUUUCAUUUUUUAUACUUUAUAUAUAUAUAUAUAUAUAUAUAUAUAUAUAUAUAUAUAUAUAUAUCAUAUUCUUUAUAUCUUUAUUAUAUUCUUCGUAUAAUAUUUAUACCUAAUCAAUAAACAUAUUCAAAAAAAAUUGGACCCCCUAUAUUAAAAAAAGCUGAACCAUUGUUGUGAUAUUGUGAAUAAAAUUAACCUUCCCAUCUUAUCAUACUAGAAAAAAAUCAGUGAUAAUUCGUGGGGUGUCAUGGCCUUAGGAGUAAUAUAUUAUUGUUGGUAUAUGCUAUCUAAUUCCUUUUUAUGACAUCGGACUUCAAACAUUUAUUGACAAUAAAAGGCUCUACAAAUUGAAUUUUGGAAAGUUUUUAUUAUUGAUAUGAUAAUUGUAAAGGCCUAAGUACAGUAGAAAAUAUUAUUUUUAAAAUUUGACCUUUACACUUUAAUUAUAGUUGGAUUGUUACAAAAUUUUCAAAUUAAUUUAACUCUUUACAAAUGGUUGAAUUAUCCUCAUAUAAAACUUUUUAUUCAGCCCAUUUAUUAAUGGAACUCCCUUGUAAUUGUUACAGUCUUUACACAACAUUUUGCACCUUUAUAUUGAUAGGUUGAGAAAGGAGAAUUCUACAUCCUUAUUUAUCCAUAAAUUAAAUUUAUUUGUUUUUAAGCCUAUUGAAACAGAUGCAUUUGUGGUUAACCAAAGACACACUAAUAGUUAAUUAAUUAUUUUAUUUUAAACUUCAAAGAAGUGGUUAACUAUUGUUUUGGUUUAUUUGUUCAUAGUAAACAAAUAUACAUAAUACAAUUGGAUCCUCCAUAUUAUAAGUGGAUCAUUCUAUAUUUAGAAACUUCAAUAUUCUAAGAUAAGUUUUAGAUUUUUCUAACUCUUUUUUUAAUUGUAUAUAAUAGUAAAAACACCAUUUGAAAAAAAAAAAAUAUAUAUAUAUAUAUUUAUAUANNNNNNNNNNNNNNNNNNNNNNNNNNNNNNNNNNNNNNNNNNNNNNNNNNNNNNNNNNNNNNNNNNNNNNNNNNNNNNNNNNNNNNNNNNNNNNNNNNNNAGGAGAUGACGCUUUAGAGAAGUGUCAUCUUAUACCUUUAUUGACACUUAAAAAGCGUCAUUGAUUCUCUUUUAUCUUGUAGUGAGAGUUUAGCUAUUUUAGUUCAAAAAAUGCUACAAAUAAGUGUACAAACGGUUUUCUAAAAUUGUUACCCUCGUUGCUCUAAUAGAUUACAUGGAUACAAAAGGAUGCAUAAAAUUAUACACUAAUAUGGAAAUAUCAUACCAAAUUUAAUCCCCUUAUCAAAGUUGAAAAGAUGACAUUUGUACCUCCCCAAAUGAUUCACUAAAGUUUUAGAAAUGUGGGGGGAAUCAAAGAGUGAAACCAUGGAUCCAAUGGUGAGGGGAAAGAAAAUAAAAAUGUGGGAUCAAGUCCUUAUCAGCAUUUUAAGAGAAAAUGCCAACAUUAAGCUCUAUAAAUGGCGACACCUUAUAAGUGGUGCCUUUAUCAAGAAGGCUUCUGCUUGAAAAGGCACCAUAAAUGGUGCCACUCCCUUUUUGUCACCAUCGUGCCACCGUUUUAGGGAGCAACUAUAUGCUUCCUUCAAUUAUUUUCCUCCUUUUUUUUAUUAUUUAUCAAUCUUUCCUGAUUUUUCCCACUAGCAAAAUAAUAACCAAAUCCCGUGAAAAAGAUUGAUCUAUAAUGGGUUUAUAAUUCAAAAGAAAAAAAAAAUUAUUAUGGCUCAUAUGGAUAUCUCUAACUUGCUUAACCGACUUCAAAAUUAAGAUUGGUUGAAAUGGGGUUAUGUCAUUGAGGCAUGCAACUUUAAUCCUUUGGCUCUACUCUAACUUUGUUCUUGCCUCCCAAAUGUCUCGAAAACAAUUUGUAUUUAUUGAAACAACCCAAACAUCGAUGUUUGAAGGGAAAAUAUGUGAAUGUUGGGUGCAUGUGAGGUAGUGUUUAUUAGAGAAUUCAUUACAAUAGAUUUUCUUUCUAUUUUCAAAUUCUUGUAAUUAGUUGUAACUUCCUAUUUUUGUUGUAAUUCCCUAAUUCUAGGAUUGUUUUCUAUUUUUGUAUUUUGGGCUAAUUCUAGGAUUGUUUCCUACUUUUGUUGUAAUCCCCUAAUUUUAUGAUUGUUUCCUAUUUUUGUGUUUUAGGUUUUGUGUAUAUAUAUUCAUUUUUAAUCAAUGAAAAAGUCAAGUCAUUGUUUCUCAAUAAUCCUCUUUCUACUUCAACUUGUGUAAACUUGGUUAGCCAGGAAGUGCAUCUAAUGCCAAACUUGAAACUAAAUGUAAUUUUUAGCCCUCUUACCAUUUAGAUUAUGAAUUCAAUAAAGUGUUAUAGUAAUUUCCUUAGAUUUUCUUCAAGAAGUAAAAUAUUCAGGAUCUUCCUUCAUAAGUCUAAGAGGGUGAUUGAAUCCACUGAUGUGGUGAUUAAUGACAUAAGAAGUAAUAGAAAAGAGUUCUAAUCUAGUGAAUACAAAGUAAUAUUCCUAUGUAAUUUUCUUGAGUUCAUCUUAGGAUUAGGUCACUUAAUUCAACUCACUUGAGCCCUAAUUAAUUAAUUAACCCUAUUAGACACCAAUUAAUCAAUUAGUCAAAUCCAAAAAAUUAUUCAUAAACUUUUCUGCUAUCUUACAUAUUUACUAAAAUUACCUUAUACACAUGUGAAUAAAAAACCUAAAUGCCACUCAAUAAACGUGUCUUGAAGGAAAAAGAGCUCAAGCGAGGACCAGUGGUACCCAUACGAAAAUAUUGGCUAUCUCAAAAUCUAAUUUUAAAGUUGACUCAGCAUCCCUCUACAAAGAGUCAACUACACUCGAGUAUUCUAUAAUAUUAGAUUGAGAUAGAGUACUUGGGUCUAUGACUUAAUAGAAUUUGCAUGCAAGCUCCCCAUGAAUUGAUGCUUGUAAUCUAAUAAGAGAAUGUUAUCAACCUCUUAAGAUUAUCUAUAUCAUCAUUAAGUCUCAAAUCUUCAUAUUAUGUGAUUAACUAACAUACUAUAGCUCUCUAAAAGCUUAUGUUAAAUUCCAUGAAAAGAAUUACUACAACCAUUUAUUUCAUGAUCACAUGUCUUUAGGAUCAUCUAAGGGGACACGUUGUUUCAAACCUAUGAGAUAUCAUGGUGCUUAUCUUAAGAAUAACUAUCGUCACUUGCUUCAAUCAACAACAACCCAAUCCAUGGGGAAUAUAUGACAACCUUAGGGUCUCACCUAUAGGUCAAAGCCACUGAAAACCUCUACACUACCUCAAUAUUCUCUCAAGGUUGAGAGCUCAUGUAACAUAAUAGUUUGGUGAAUCAUGUCCACUCGAUAAAUAAUGUCAUGAUUUAUUUUAGGUCCUGUUCAAUGUGUAACCAUACACAUUUGUGCAUUCAUCAUGGGAAACCCAUCCCGAUGACUAAAAUAAUUCAUUCCUCCAAUUAUGAGGUAGUGUGCUAUAGUCUCAUAUAGAUUGCCUAAGUCCAUGAACAAACUGUGAACAACUCAUCAAUCUUGCAAGUAAUCUAUGACUUGGAUUUUCCAUGCAAUUCCUAAUGCACCUAAGUCAUAUACAAUGCAAAUGAUGCAAACUUGAAUGUUCAACAUAGAUAAUGCAUAAAUAUAGGAUAGUGAGUGGAGAAACAAAAUCAUAAUAUAAAUAUUAAAGAAUUUUAUUUAUUGUUAUAUUAUGUCAUACUUUUAAGGGCUUUAUCUCAACAGUACCUCCUCAAUCACAACAUUUGCAGUGUAAUUUUUAUUCUCAUCCCUAUUCAAUGCUCUACAAUUCUUCUUUAUGUGACCAAGCUUACCAAAAUUUUAACAUUUCACAUUUCACCAUUCUCUAGAUUUUCCUUUUCCAUUCUUUAAAUUCAAUCUAUUAUGGCCUCAGUUAGAACUAUUUUCAUAACUCCUACCCUUGGUCCCAACAUAUACGACAAAUUUUAAUGUUGUUACUUUACCCAAAUCUUUCCUACGAACUUCCUUAGCAAGAAUUCAAUUUCUGAUAUCAUUGAACUUUAAUUUCAAGUUCCCUAUAGAAUUACUGACUUUUGCUCUCACGAGCUCCCAACUAUUUGGUAGUGAGGUCAGAAGAAUAUUUAAGGCACAACUUCAUCAUCAAAAUUGAUUUCAACUAAGGACAAUUGAUUGACAAUCAUGUUAAAUUCAUUCAAAUGCUCUACCACCGGAGCACCUUAUCCCAUCUUCAAAAUAAAUCACUUUUUCAUGAGAUGUACCUUGUUAUUUGCAUAAGGCUUCUCAUACAUGUUAGAAAAGCCCUCCUUUAGUCCUUUUAUGGUUUUCUCCUUCGCCAUAUUAUGUGACACAUUCUUUGACAAUGUGUAGACCCCCUGAGUAGCGGCUAGUGGCAACAGAACCCGAGAAUGAGUUGGGGGUGGCAGCCAAAACAGGGCGGCCAUAGGACGAGAUGGGCAGGUUUUUUUACGGCGAGAUGGGACGGGAAGAAGGGGGAAAAAACAGAGCAAAAUGGGUGCGAGAGGUCCUGAGUCCAAGGAGGGAGAGGGGGUUCGGAAAAUUUGGAGUGCAUGAAAGAGAGGAUUGGUCAGAAAAAGCUAGGGCGGGCAUCCAGUGUGGUUUACAGGUAUGUUCACAUUUCACCAUACUUUUUGUUAUUCUGAGCAUCACUCCCACGCCCUUGUUGAUUUAGUUGAUGUUUUUUUUACUCAUGUCGUUGAUGUCUUCUCCAUUGCAUCAAUUUGGUUUGAAUAAUGGAUGAGGGUCUCUGUCAUAUUCAUUGUGCCAUCCAGAUAUGCAGGGUGUUGUUUUUUUGGUUUUGUGUUUUGGAACCCAUUCUCUUCUCCCCCAGCAUGAGCGUUAAGAACCAUGCAAGCAUGGCUGUAUCAUACCCAUCUCCUACCUCACCACCUCACCAUCUCACCACUCACACUUCUCAUCCCUUUUUCUCCCGUGCUCAUCCCUAUUUCAUCCACGUACCUUCCCCUCUUCAACGAGCGGAAAUUCACCCUUGCCUUUCGUGAGCUCCUCCGUAAUACCAGAAGCCUCGCCACAGUUGUAGCGGAUGACGAUGUCGCCUUCCGUAGCAGCAACAACAAACGCAGCCCCGCCGGCUUGGGUGCAGCCCCGCCGUUUUAGGCGCAUCAGGCGCCAGUUCCGCCGUCCUAGGCCCAACUCUAGAUGGCGCCGCCACCCUAGCAGCAGCAGUCGCGCCUUGAGGUCGCGAGCUGAUUCUCCCCGACGCCGGCACGCGGUUCGCCCCACAUUGCUCCGACCAGGUGGACAGCCGCGCCAGUCGUCGGCGACGGCAGCAACGUCUCUUGGUGCCGCUGGCGGUAGGAGCUCCCUCGGAGGGUGAUUUCCAGGCGGGAGGGGAAGCUAGGAAGAAGAUGAAUUUGGUUUGGGCUUGGGUUAAGGCUAGGCCCAAUUUUGUGUUUGGUUUUGGUUUUGGGCUCAGGCUUGAGUUGGGGGCACUAGGCCCAGGUUUGUGAUGGAUGUUUGCAUUGGGCUUGCUUAUGAAGGCUUUGGGCUUGGGUUUGAAUUUGGAGCCCAGGCUCAAGCCUAUGCUGAAGAUGGAGCCUUUGUCUUAAGCCCAUUUCUAUUAUUAUUAUUAUUAUUAUUAUUAUUAUUAUUAAUUAUUAUUAUUAUUCUUAUUAUUCUUAUUGUUAUUAUUAUUGUUACUAUUAUUAUUAUUAUUAUUGUUAAUUAUUAUUAUCAUUGUUAUUAUUAUUAUUAUUAUCAUUGUUAUUAUUAUCAUUGUUAUUAUUAUCAUUGUUAUUAUCAUUGUUAUUAUUAUUAUUAUUAUUAUUAUUAUUGUUAUUAUUGUUAUUAUUAUUGUUAUCAUUGUUACUAUUAUUACUAUUAUUAUUAUCAUUAUUCUAUUUAUUAUUAUUAUUAUUAUUAUCAUUAAUCCAAACUCUCAAAAUCUCAUUAUUAUUAUUAUUAACUCAACUUUCAAAAUCUAUUUAUUAUUAUCAUUAUUAUCAUCAUUAAUCAAAACUUCCAAAAAUCUAAUUAUUAUUAUUAUUAUUAACCCAACUUUCAAAAUCUAUUUAUUAUUAUUAUUAUCAUUAAUCCAAACUUCCAAAAAUCUCAUUAUUAUUAUUAUUAUUAACCCAACUUUCAAAAUCUAUUUAUUAUUAUUAUUUUCAUUAAUCCAAACUUUCAAAAAUCUCAUUAUUAUUAUCAUUAUUAACUCAACUUUCAAAGUCUAUUUAUUAUUAUUAUUAUCAUUAAUCAAAAUUUUCAAAAAUCUCAUUAUUAUUAUCAUUAUUAACUCAACUUUCAAAGUCUAUUUAUUAUUAUUAUUAUCAUCAUUAACAAACUUUCAAAAAUCUAUUUAUUAUUAUUAAUUCAAACUUUCAAAAACCACAUUACUAUUAUUAUUAUUAACCCAACUUUCAAAAUCUCAUUAUUAUCAUUAUUAUUAUUUCACACUUCCAACAUCUAUUUAUUAUUAUUAUUAUUAUUAUUAUUAUCAUUAAUCCAAACUCUCAAAAUCUCAUUAUUAUUAUUAUUAAUUCACACUUUCAAAAUCUUUUUAUUAUCAUUAUUAUUAAUUCAACUUUCAAAAUCCUACUAUUAUUAUUAUUAACCCAACUCUCAAAAUAUUAUUAUUAUCAUUAAUUCAACUUUUAAAACCUUAUUAUUAUUAUUACUAUUAUUAUUAUUAUUAUUAUUAUUAUUAAUUCGAUUCUCAAAAUCUUAUUAUUAUUAUUAUUAAUUCACACUUUCAAAAUAUUAUUAUUAUUAUUAUUAUUAUUAUCAUUAAUACAGACUUUCGAAAUAUUAUUAUUAUUAUUAUCAUUAAUUCAACUUUUAAAACCUUAUUAUUGUUAUUACUAUUAUUAUUAUUAUUAUUAAUUCGAUUCUCAAAAUCUUAUUAUCAUUAUUAUUAAUUCACACUUUCAAAAUAUUAUUAUUAUUAUUAUUAUUAUUAUUAUUAUUAUUAAUUCAGACUUUCGAAAUCUUAUUAUUAUUAUUAUUAUUAUUAUUAAUUCAAGCCCUCAAGACCUUAUUACUAUCAUUAUUAUAAAUUCAACUUUCAAGAGUCUAUGGUCUCGCAGUUCAAUUUCCUAAAGUCCGUUUCUCAUGUUCUUUAACAAAUUUCGAUCUAAUAAUCGGAGCUCUAAUCUUCAAAAUUUAAUUCCAAAUACUCCAAUUUUCAAAUAAGCUCCAAUAAUCCAGUUUUCACUCGAAUAGUUUUUAAUCACAUUUCAGUUCCUAAAUAAUUUUCUGAUCUUUUUUAUUUUACAUAAGCAAUAGUGAUUCCUUCAUAAUUCUAAAACAUGGGAUUUGUGAGAUUAGCUCAUGAACGAUAAAUCGGGCUUUGUUGGGGGCCCCAUGUUUGAUCCCUUUUUGACUGUCAAUUAUCGUGCUUAAUGUAUUUCGCUUGAGCUUCGUUUCGCACUCCGAUAUGCAUAGGCUAUAUUUUGUAUUCAUUAAUUGUGCACUAAUUCCGUUUCUUAAUAGCGCGUUGUUGUUUGCUGCCCAGGUACGCAUUCACUCAUUCUGAUCAUACACUGUACAUAUUCUGAUUCUCAUAUAUGCAUGAUUGAUGUGAGUAUCCAUUGACUUUCUUAUUCGAUUGCCACGUCAGUUUCACUUUAUUAGUAGAGACCCGACUUUAGGGACUUAGAGGGGUGCUACGGUCUCUACCGUACCUUCCCGAUAAGUAACCUGACCCCCGAACCCGAUCCGGUUUUUCACAGACCACCUUUUCCAAAACAAGGAGUCACACUUAGGGUUUUUCUUUCUUAUUUUGUUUACCCUUUAAAAAUAAAACAAAAAUAAGUGGUGAUUCCAAGUCAUUUUUUUUUUAACCAAAUAAAAUCAUUUUUCUAACAAAAAUCGAGCUCGCCAUCGAAUGGGAAACGCAUGAGCCGAAAUACGGGGUCCACACAAUGUUAAUUUGAUGACUCCCAACACUUGUCUAUCAAGGAGAUUUCAAUCAACUUUUAACAUUGAUUCUAAUUUCUAUCUAAGAAUGGGCAUAUGAAACUUUUUACCAUGAGAUAAUCUUUGAUUUACGUUAUCUAAAAUGCAAAAUCUACACCAUUGAACUUAUUGAUUCCAGGCCUAGAUCCAUUUUCUUUGGUCACUGCUCUCACUCAAAUUAGGCUCUGAUACCACUUGUUAGGAGAAAAUCCUUACUUAUGAGAGCAAUAACACAAAAAAAAAAAAAAAAAGACAAUAGAUAGAAAACAAACAAGAUUUAUAAUGGGUCACAGUCAAUGUAAGGGUUGCAUCCACUUUGCUGCUAUAGAAAUUCCACUAUGAUUAGAAAGAAAAAUAUAGUAUGAUCUUCGGCCUAAUACCACUCCUUUAUUUUCACACCCUUGUCCUAAUAAGGGUUAACCUAAUCCAUUAUAUAAUGAGAAAAUUAUGAUAAACUAAUACAUAUGUAGAAUACCUAAAAUACCCUUUAAAUAAAAAAUUAGGCUUCACGCAAUUUAACACAAAGAUCAAACUGUAACAAAGGUCAAAAGGUCAAAGCUUGAUGGCACAGUUACUUCUAAAUCAAUAAUAAUCACUAAUGGUUUUAUCUAAUUCUGAAUGUAACCUUCAUUUCUUUUAACUUAGUGAAAAAAAAUAUUUAAAUGCCAUGAAACAUGAAAGAAUUAAUCAUAAAAGUACUUUAUUAGUUUAUUUAUUUGAAUUUUAUUUAAAUAUAUUUAUACUUCUAUAAUAUUUUAAAAAUAAAAAUAAUUCUCCAUUAUAUUUUUAAUUAUAGGGAGAAUUGUGUUUUAGGCCCAACUGGCCUAAAAAUUAACAUUUGGUCCAUAUAACAUGCAUAUUUAAGCUCAAGACCCAAACGAAGUAUGAAAAUUAAGAUGAAGGAUAUUGUCCUUCAUUAAUUCCUAAAAUACCCUUAACCCUUACAUAGACACAAGUGAGUGUGAAUUUCAAUUUUUUUUGUGUUUUUUUCCCUUUUCUAUUCCCUAUUAAGUAUUACUCAUUUCUAAUCUUUUUUUUUUUCUUCCAAUCUAUAUUUCUAUUUUAUAUCAAAUAAAAAGUAAUAAUGUUUUUUUGUUUUUCAUUUUGAAAGAUAUUGAAUCUUUUUUCUCUUAUUAUACGCAAUGAUAAAAAUUUUGGGAUUUUUCAUCCAAAUAUUUUUUAUCUUUUUGUAUUUAUCUUUUAGUUUAAUUUUUCAUUUUUUAUUUUAAAUUUAUAUUACCCUUUCAUUUAUAUUUUUCUCUUAUUUUUAAUUAUUUUUUUAUAUUUUCUACAUUAACCAUAUUUUUAAAAAAAAUUAAAAUUGACUAUCACUUCACUCUAUUUUAUAUAUAUAUAUAUAUCCUUUUAGCUUUUUAAUUUUUAAUGUUUUUAUUUUAAAAUUUUUAAAAAAGAUAAAUUUAUUGAAAAAAAUAACUAAGAUAUGAAAUUCUAAUAUUAUAUUAAUAAUUUUUUUUAUCUAGAUAGACUAAUGCAAAGUAUUUUGAUUCACAACAAGAAAAUUGUCAAUACAAUUGUUUAGUAAAACUUUAGAAAUUAAAUUUCAAAUAAAAUAUAUUAUAUAAAAUUUUAUCUAAAAAUUAUUGAAAGUGGUAUUUAAUUUUUUUUAUUGACUUUCAAACUUAUCUAAUUUUUUACUUGAAAGGUAAUAGAACAUGUUUACAAAAAAUAUUAGUUUUUCAUUUUUUAAAUAAAUGAGUAUAAAUAUAUUAAAAGAAUUAAAGAUAAUCUUAGUAAAAAAUUUGAUAAAUAUGAUUAUAAUUUUAAAUAUAGAUUCAUUUGGAUAAAAUUUCACAAAAAAAAAAAAAAUAGUGGAAAGAAAAAACAUUGCUAAAACUACAAAAACAAAAUAUGCAAUUACAAAAAUUUGAUGAUGAAAUUUAAAAAUAAAAUUCAAAACAAUUCUUGAGUGAGAGAAUUUGAGUAGGGAAAAAAUCUUUGAGUGAAAAAAAAUGGGAAAGUUUCUCAAAAUCACUUGAAAUCCUUAACAAAAAGUAGUCUUGUACACCCUUGUACAAUUAGUAAAUUUAUCUCGUACAGUUAGGGUAAUACCCUUGUACAAUAACUCAAAUUUCAUACAUCAUCUCAUGAAUAUCUGACAAUAGGUCAAUUAACCAUAUUUGAAUUGGUUUGGUUUUAAAAGAGAAGAAAAAUUGUUGUAUGAUUUUGUUUUACAAUCAUCAUAAGUGAGGUACCUAUUCAAAUGACCAUAUACAAGUUAGAUAAAGUGUAUGAGAUGAAUGUAUGCUUAAUAAUGUGUGUAAGGAAUGUCAUUUAUCAUCGGUAAGGGGAAAUAAACAAACAAGUUUUUUAGAAUCACUUAAAAUCUUUCAUAAAUAAUAGUCUUGUACACCCUUGUACAGUUAGUAUAUUUGUCAUGUACACUUAGUGUAAAUACCUUGUACAGUGACUCAAAUAAAACUUUAUUUUAUAUUAUUUUCAAUGCAAAAUGUAAUUAAAAAUAAGACAAAGAAAUUACUUAAAAACUAUUAUUUAAGCCAAAUUUAUUUAUUUAUGUAUUUCCUUUUAUUUUUGGAAAUAAAGAAAAAAAAUAAAAAAUUUAUUUAACCAUAAGAAAUAUGAAUAUAAGAUCAGUUGGAAAAUUUCAAAUUUAUUUAUUUAUUUCAUUUUAUUUUUGGAAUUAAAGAAAUAAAAAAUAAAAAAUUUAUUUAAUCAUAAAAAUAUUGAUAUAAGAUAUGUUAAAAAAUAGAAAUAACCCCAAAUUUAUUUACUUAUUUUAUUUUAUUUAUUUAAAUUAGAAAGUAAUUUAUUUUAAUAGAUUAAAAUGUACACAAUUGAUUUAUUACUUUGUUAAUUAUGGAUAUAUUAAAAUUUUCUAUUAGACAAAAAAUAAAUAAAGAAAAUAAAAUUAAAAAGAGUAAUAAAUAUAUAUAAUUUAGUUAUUUAAUUAUUUUUCAUGUAAAAGAUAGUCCCACAAAAAACACAUAAUUGAUCAAUUUCUUUGUUUAAUUGUAAACAUAUUAUAUUUUUUUAUAUUAUUAAAUAACUAAUGGAAAAAAAUAAAAAUGGAUAAUCAAUGAAUGAAAUUUAAUUCUUUUUAUUAUAAUCAUAUAAAAAAAUAUUACUAAACAUGGUUUUCAAUUUUUAUUUUUAAAAAUAGUUUUCAUUUUUUAAUUAAAUGUUUUUUCAAAAAGAAAAUAUAAAAAAUAUAAAUCAUAUUACUAUUUUUUAGAAAGUAUUUUUUAAAAUAGUUUUUGAACAUAAUUUUUCUUUUUUUAUAAUUUAAAAUAGAAAAUAAUGCUGAUUUUCAAUUAUUUAUAUAAAAAAAUUUAAAAACAAUGAAAAAUCCAAAUUGUUAAAAUAGAAUUAUUAUAAUUGCAUGAAUAGUGGUCCAAUAAAGACAAAAAACUUAUGUGAAAGGUCAUUGGGUAUUUUAGUCCAUCACUAUUUUAUAUCCUUAAAAGGUAAUGUAUAGAAAUUUGAAGGAUAUAUUAGUCUUUUAACAUCUUAUAUCAUUUCCAUCAAUUAUGGAAGUUAUAUGGACCAAAUAUUAAUUUUUGAGUCCAGUUGGGCCCAAAACAGAAUUCUCAAUAAUUAUAUUUGUUAAUAUUAAAUAUAUUUGAUAAUUCUAAUUUUAAUUUAUUUAUUUUAAAAAUAAAAUACGUUUAGAAAUUAUAUAACAAAAAGAAAUUUGGACUUUGUUAUGAGUUUCUAAUAAGUGAGACAAUUUCACAAAGAAACAAAAGUUAUGGGUGAGUAACAGUUAUUUUUAUUUUUAUUUUUUUUUAUAAUUUUUUUUUUAAAUAAUAAUAAAACCAACUUAUCUAGUAUAAUUUUUAAAAUUAUUUUCAAAUUAAAAAUAAAAAGAUUAAUAAAAAAAAACCAUAACUAUUCAUUUACCGUGACUGGGAAGGAAAAAAAAAAUUAUGCAUGUGGAGUUGAUUUGGGUGAGAUUUGUGUAUCCCUCUUCAACUCUCAACCUGUCAGAAAGCUUAAAGAUUAGAGUAUGAGAUGUGCACAUGCCUAUGAAGGUGAAUUAAGCGCAUAUUUAUUAUAUUUAAAAGACUUAGAGUACAUUUGGAGUGCUCCUACAGACCACUUUUAGCAUAAAAAACGUUUUUUAAAAAUAAAAAUCAAGUGCUGAUCAAAAUUUUAAAAAUAUUUUUAAAAAUUAAAAAAUUACUUAUAGUGCUUUUUAAAGAUGUAUUUAGAAUUUGUUUAACAAUGAUUUAAAAUAAAUUUUUAACAUAAAAAACAUUUUAAAAAAAACAAGCAUUUAACAAAAUUUAAAAAAUACUUUUAAAAGAUUAAAAAAUCACUUACAAUAAUUCUUAAAAAAUACCUCAUAAGUGAUACUCUCAAAAACAUUUAUAAAGAAAAUAUUUUUAUUAAAAACACUUCAAAUAAAAUCACUAUUAAAUACAUUAUAACACAUAAUUAUUUCAAAAACAUUUUUAGAAAAAACACUUCCAUUAAAACUACUCUCUACACAAAAACUAUGAAACACUUAAAAAUUUCGUUCAAUUGCAAUGAUGGAGGCUGCUUGACCCCAAAAUAGGGUCUUUGGCUCAUGGUUCCUUGAGGUGUGAACGUGAUGGUUUGAAUUCAAAGUUGUCUUGUUAAAGAAAAUAUGGUGGAUUUAUUUAUUAGGGUGGUUGAGAUUUGAGACUUAUACAGUUUUUUAUUUUUUAUUUUUUUAUAUUUGUCUUUUAUUUAUUUUAUUUACUUUGAUGAUCCAGAAGAUGUCGGCUAGAAUUAAAUAUGGAAAAAGAAAAAUAAUUCCCAAAGGUGGGAAUGGGAUCUCCCAUGCAUGUUCCUUAUGUUACAAAGUUAGGUAUUGGCGAACUGAUGGUUAGGAAAUAAGUUGAUAAAGUUGACUAGGAAAAAAUCAUUCUCAAAGGUGGGAAUGAGAUCUUCAAUGUUUAGGGAUGAUAAUGAAACAGAUUUUUUUUUUUUUUUUUUUUGUAUCCACCUCAUCCUGCUCCUAAUGGGAUAAGUUUUAAUUUUAACUAAAUUGGUUUAAAUUUUUUUUUUUAAAACCCGGGGGCGGAUUCAAGACGAGUUUGGGUAUUGCUUUGUCCUGGCCCGUCUUGCCCCGCCCCGAUUAUAUAUAAAAUUAAAAUUUAAAAAUAAAUUUAAUUAAAUUUUACUAUUUUUAAUAUAUAGAUAAUAAUAAAAUAUUUUUAAUAAAAUAAGCUAUAAAAAAUAUAAUAAUUUAAUUAUUUAUAAAAUAUAUUUAUUUUAAUGUAAUUAAAAAGUUUAAAAGUAAUUUUUUUAAAAAAAAUUCAAAAAAAGUUAAAUGGGGUGAGAUAGGACAAGUUUAAUUUUUUAAAUGAGAUAAAAAUAAGAAUUAUUUUUACUAAAUGGGGGACGACCCAUCCCAAACCCAACCUAUUAUCAUCCCUAUACAUGUUCCUUAUAUUAUAAAGUUAGGUAUUGAGAAUUGAUGGUUAGGAAAUAAGUAGACAAAGGGCAGGAUAUGAAUAUUUAUUUGAAGGGAUCAGGAGACAAAAAGAAAUAAAAAAAAAACAAAACAAAACAAAAUAAUAGUUGACUUAGCGGUAAUUAUGAAUUGACUUACAGUAAAUCCCUUGGAAAGGGAUCAUAUCCUCAUUCUAGCCAAAUACUUGUUUUCAAAUGUCUGGAAACUGUAGUUUGAGGGUGUUAAUUUUAUACUUAAUUUUGUAGUUAGAUGUAGAUGCUUGUUAACAUGAGAAUAGCAUACAUUAAGCUCAUUUUAAUUAGGAUGAAAAAUGGGGACCACCCAUGUGCUCACCAAACCCUUCCUUUUCAUCCUCCAAUAUUUUGAAGUACUAGAAAAAUGCUAAAUCCGAACAUUUGAAUUAUCCUAAUUCUUCUUCCUAGUUCUCCAAGCUUUCCUUGAGUUUGAGGUGUCAAAAGUUUUGUCCAAUUCCUUCAAUUCUCGUUGUACUUCUCAUUUCACUUUGAUAUUCCUUUGAAACUUUUUACAUAUCAUUGUCAUAUAUGGUUGGAAUCCUACAACUAAGAACCCUAAGUUAACAAAUCCAUGUCAUUAUUUUAAUCAUAAUAAUAAUAAUAAUAAUAAUAAUAAUAAUAUGGAUUUGUUUAUAAGAGUGGUGGAGACAUGCCUUUUUUUUAUUUGCCCUUUUGACUUUGAGUUGGGAAAAUUUUCAUUUUCCCAUAAUUAGUGUUUGUUCAAUAAUUUUUCUUUCCCUUUUUUUACUUAAAAUAUAGAACAAAAGUAAAAAUAUUUAGUGUCAAAUUUGGAUAUGCUUACUACUUUUUAUUUUAAAAUAAAAAAUUUAUAUAUUAAAAUAAAAUAUUUUGUACAAAAAAAUAUAAUUUACUUUAUGUUUUCAAGAAUCAUUUUAAAAUUUGAGAUAAUAAGAAUAACACCUCAAGUUUUUUUAAACAUUUUAUAAAAAUUAUUAUGUUUUUUUUUUUUAAAGUUAACCUCUAAAAGUUUAUGUAUUUUAUAUAAAAGUUAUUACUAUUUUAUGAUUUUAAAAACAAAAAAUAAGAAUGAUGUCCAAUAAGACUGUUUAUAAUUUAAUUUUUUACUCAACUUUUCUAUCAAUAAUCUAAUAAUAAAGCAAAUUUCUAGGUUAUGCUUUCAUCCUACUUUCCCUUCUUUAUUUUCUUUCUAACAAACUUUAGACAUGCAAUUAUUACCUAAAAGAGUACUUUUUAAAAAAAAUGAAUAAAAGGGCUCAUCACUUGAUUAAUCACACAACCUGCGGCCUCAAAUACAAAACCUUUGUUCCUCUCUUUUCCUCCUAACCCUAUUGUUAGUUGUUACUAAGAUCAUAAGUAAUAAUACUAUCUGUAAUAGGGAUAUUAGUGUAUUUUGAAAAUUUUAAAUUACAUAAAUUGAAUUUAGAGAUAUUUAUGUAUUUUAGAAAUUAAAAUAAAAAUAAAAAAUAAAAAAUAAAAAAUAAGUAAGAUAUUUUUGGUCCCCACCAUAUUAUCCAAAAUUGAAAAGACAAAAUAGAGAGCAAAAAAAAGGGUCUUUAUAGAACUUUGAUUGGAAGGGUAAGAGAGGAGAGACUUUUAGUAUUUGUUUGGUUCUACAAUUUAAAGAUGUGAAUUAAUUUUUUCAAGAAUUUGAAUUGCUUCUUCCAUGUAAGGGUUAAUUAUAUAGUGAGUUAGUGUUUAUACCUCUUUAUUUGUUUUCAUCUAUUUAUUAAAAUAUCAAAGUAUUUAAAUUCCAUAGAGUGGAUCAAGUAAUAUUUUUCUAAAUAUGCUAUGAUUUGUCAUUUUGUUUAUAAAAUAAAUUGAGAAUAUCAUAUGAUUUGUUUGAUUAUUAUGCAAAUGAUUUUAACCUUCUUCGAGGUAAAGGUUAAUAAUGUAGUGAGUUAGUUUAUGUCUCUUUAUUUGUUUUCAUCUAUUUAUUAAAAUAUCAAAAUAAUUAAAUCCAUAAAGUGGAUCAAGUAAUAUUUUUUUGAAAUAUACUUUAAUUUGUUCCUUUGUUUAUAAAAUAAAUUGUAAAUAUUAUAUGAUUUGUUUAAUUAUUAUGCAAGUGAAGUUUAUCUUUUCAAUUAAUUAGAGUGAUUUUGGAAAUACAGGUUAUCAAUAGCCCUAGUCAAUAAGGAUAAAUGGUUGACCUUUAUUAUCUUUGAUGGGAUAAAUUGUUGACCUUUAUUAUCCUUGGUGGAGUAGUGAUGUAAUGUAGCCNNNNNNNNNNNNNNNNNNNNNNNNNNNNNNNNNNNNNNNNNNNNNNNNNNNNNNNNNNNNNNNNNNNNNNNNNNNNNNNNNNNNNNNNNNNNNNNNNNNNNNNNNNNNNNNNNNNNNNNNNNNNNNNNNNNNNNNNNNNNNNNNNNNNNNNNNNNNNNNNNNNNNNNNNNNNNNNNNNNNNNNNNNNNNNNNNNNNNNNNNNNNNNNNNNNNNNNNNNNNNNNNNNNNNNNNNNAAAUAUUAAGCGUUGCAUCCUAUACUUCUAAUGGAGGGGACAAUGGCUUCUACAAGUGAUGCGGAUGCAUCUGAUCUGGAGAGCAUUAGGCGAAAGUUGAUGAAGAGCUUGGCCAGCAGUUGGGAAGAAGUUGUACAGAUAUACGAGCAAGAUCCAAGAGCUCACAAGAUCGAGAUCGGCCCAUCAAGGAACACAGCAUUGCAUAUAGCAGUUUCAAGUGGGCGAGAAGGCAUAGUAGAACGACUAGUGAAGUCGAUUGCGAAGAAUGGUAACCCCGUGGAUGUUCUAUCUAUAAGGAAUAGAGAUGGGAACAAUCCUCUUCAUUUGGGGGCCUCACUGGGAAGCAUUUCCAUGUGCAGAUGCAUCACUGAUGAGUGUAAAGAACUGUUGGGUUACCGCAACCGAGAGAGAGAUACGCCCCUUUUAAGGGCAGCUCGCUAUGGCAAAAAAGAUGUUUUCCUCUGGUUGUAUGAUAUGUGUGAAGGCAACGCACCCCAUGACUACUGCCAGAACCGAUUUGGUGAAACCAUUCUCCAUCUUGCCAUUGAAGGAGGAUACAUGGGUAAGCAAUAUUAGAGUGCUAUUCUUCAGUUUACAUGUUCUAUUUCUUAAUAGUAAUAUAAAUCAUAGGCAUGAAAGUAGUCAGUUGUAAUGAACCUCUAUUAGGUGCGUACGCCUCUUUGGUUGGGUGCCUCCAAAGAAGACAAUAAAUUUGGUUGAUUCAUGGUUGUGGUGGACAGAUUUGGCGUUUCAAAUUAUUUGUAAGCAGGAAGAUCUCAUGGAUUCUGUUGACUGGCAUCAAAUCUCCCCUCUGCAUGUCCUAGCUGAGAAGCCUACUGCAUUCAGAAGUGGAAUUCAUCUCGGCUGGUUCAACAAAAUCAUUUAUCACUGUAAGAUUCUCCAAACCAAACCAAACCAAAAUGUUUGCAAGUAUCAAACAGAGAUUGAUGCAUGGGGCUGAAUUGAAUCUAGUGCAUGCAUCAUUUGUUAUCUUGUAUCUGAUAUCUCCAUCAAGGCCAUAAAUUUCUGACAGUUCCCCUUGUUAAUCAAAUUGGAAGGUAUUUCUGUUGAAGAGCUCAUCCCUGCAGGGACUUCCAAAGCAAAGAAGAGCUUCUUUCAAGAGCUACGGAAGCUGAUUAAAUUACCAGGUGGGAGCAGGGAUCGGUAGCUUAAUCAUUUGGAAGAAAACAUUCUUGUAGCCACUGACCGCUUUCUUGAUGUUGCAACCAUAAUUUGUUGUUAUGGUAGUUAAUCAGUAUGAGACAGUAACAAAUUAAUAUGGUUCACUUGCAAAAGGAAUAGAAGCAUUUCAGCAUAGGAGAUCUCAAUCCCUCUUUUAAUAUAUUCUUGCUCAUGUGUGCUGUGACCAAGCUUAUACCUCAAGUAACUAGUGGAAAAAAAAAAUGCAGGAAAAAUUCUAAAAAGCACUUGGGAUCCAGAGAAUUCCUGAAGAAGGGCAAGGAAUUGAACAUCAUGGUGAGUGUGGGAUCUACUUGAUUUAAGCUAAAGCACUCUUAAAAGCAACUUCAAGUAAACAGUACUGAUUUCUUUACCUUUGUAUAGGUCAUAAUUCAAGGAAUAUUGGAGCUCAAGGACACAAACCAUUCCACUCGAAAUAUGGCAGAUGCCUGAGGUUCAUCAAGCUUUUUGUAUCCCAAGUACUGCUGGUUAUCAUCUCAGUGAUGCCAGGUAUAACACCAUAUUAAUCACCAUCCCAAGUUUCUCUAGUGUUAAUUUCCAAAACAAUAGAGGUUCAAUGUACGUUCUUGUUUCAUUGUGGAUACAUGUUUAGGUUCAAGCCAGAUAAGGAAGCUAAAAGAGAAAAAAGAGAUGCACAUGUGGUCUCUUCAGAUCCUGAACAAACUACUUGAAUGUGGUGCAAGGUGUACAUAUGAAAUGAAUCCCGAAACAUACUUCAAAAGGGGAAGAGGUAACCUCUAUGUAAACCCUGUUUUCAUUACAAAUAAACUUCUUGGUGUGUAUAUAUAUAUAAAAAGAUGUGGAGACAAGGUAACCAACCACUUUCUCCAAUAUCUUUAACUGAUAUUCAGGAGAGGCAGAUCUGGUGCAGAGCAAUCACAACUCAAAUUCUUGAAAUUUUAACCACUGUUAUUAGAUGAUUGGUCCAUUGGGCUUUCUCUUGUAGUUGAAGAAUGAGUUUUCUUAUCUUUGUAGAUUGGGGGACGACAGCAAUAGUACUUGCGAAUGGUAUCGUGGAAAUGGUAGAGAAAAUCCUGCAACUGUUUCCUAUGGCCAUUCAUGACACCAGCGACUUUAAUCAGAACAUAGUGCUGGCGGCAGUAGAGAAUAGGCAAUCACAUAUAUAUGACUUCUUACUCAACAGUAGUCAUCUUAUUGAUAAAGAAGGUGCAUUUCAAGCUGUUGAUUGUAACGGGAACAAUGCAUUGCAUCUAGCUGGAAAGCUUGCAGGUGAUGGCUACCUCCAGCGUAUCCCCACCAGCAUGUUGCAAAUGCAGUGGGAAGUCAAGUGGUACCAGGUAUGCAAAACUCAAGCUAAGAUUUAAAUUAGCUUAUGAGAAAUGACUCAAACCGAUGAAUAAUAACUUAAAAAGUAUGCACUUGGUUCAAUGCAGUAUGUGCAGAAUUCCUUGCCACCACAUUUUGUUGUUCAAAAAAAUUGGGACGAACCAUCACGUACCCCAGAUGAGAUCUUCCAAAUACAACAUCACGAACUUGAAGACAAAAGCAAACAAUGGCUAAAUAGCACCUCCAAUUCCUGCUCUUUCAUUGCAGCACUUAUAGCAACUGUUGCCUUUGCCUCAUCAGCCUCUGUACCUGGAGGGGUAAAGCAAGACACUGGGGAACCAGUUUUUGAAAACCAUCCGGCUUUCAGUAUUUUUGCAAUGGCAUCGCUAGUUGCUCUUUGCUGUUCAGUGAUCUCCUUGCUAAUAUUCCUCGCCAUUUUCAUCUCCAAGGACCAAGACAAGGAUUUUACUACGAACUUGCCAAGGAAUAUUUUAUUUGGUUUAACAUCUCUCUUUAUAUCCAUGGCAGCCAUGCUGACCUGUUUCUGCUCGGGAAACUUCUUGAUGCUUAAGGGCCAACUAAAAUAUGCUGCAAUUCUGGUAUAUGCACUCACCGGCCUGCUAAUGGCGUACUUUGUUCUCAAGCACUUUCCAUUAUUUAUUGAUCUUCUGAAGGCUACAUUUCGUAAGGUGCCUGAGCGUAUAUACAAGGAGUAUCUGUAGAUUGCUUUGGUCUGGGCUCAAGGAGGACCUUAUGCCAUGGUGAUGAUGGCCAGAUCUGAUGAUGAUGUAAUUUUUCAGUUGUUUUGUGUCUUUCAAAUAUAUAUAUAUUCCACUAAACUCCUCCAAAACUCUAUUCAUCUCUCCAUGUCUCAUAUACCCAUCAAUUAUUGCUGUCCAAAAAACCAUAUCUGACCCGACUAAAAACAGCACCAGCUUCCUCAACCAGUCUCUGAUCACUAUAAGAGCAGAUCAUCACGGUGAACGCGAUAACGUCUUCAGGCACUUCAUCAAACAUCCGACGUGCAUCCCCUGAUUCCCCUCAUUUUCCGUGUAACUCCAUCAUCCUCAACUUCACAAAACGUUUGACCUGGACCCCAGCUUCAUAGCCCUUCUGUGGAUCUCUUUCCCCUCCCUUAAAGCCGAUUGGGAUCCACGUGCUUUCAAAAUGGAGGCCAUUAAGUAAUUAUCAGGCAGAAUUGACUCAUGGAGCAUUCUGGAAUGCAGCCGAAUGCCACAAAGAUGGCUUGCUUCCUGAUGAAGCAAAGCCAUCAAUGACAGAAGUAUAUGGAUAGACAGUUGGGUUGUGACUACUGAAAAAUCAAAAUCCUAGAGGCCCAGAGAAUCCAGUGAAUGGCGUGGCAUUUGGAUCUGGUAGAGAAAAUAUCAAAUUAAUAUUAUUAAAGUUCUAAAUUUUCAGACAAUAAUAAUAAAUAAUGGUUACAUUAAAGAGAAAAAAAAUAAGGAUUAAAAAAAGCUUGACCGAGUCACAAGAAACUACUUAAUUUAUUUAAUACAUAAUAAUAAAAGAAAAGUGGAGAACAUGAUUCUUUCGUACUAAAAUAAAUAAUAAAUAAUAAAAAAUGAGAUGAGAUCAUAUAUAAUUAAAAUAAUAUAUGAUAAUUAUAAAUAUUAAUUUAAAUAUAAUUGUAAUAAGAGGGAAGUAGCUCAAAGACUAUGAAGGGGUCCUGGGAAUGACCAUUUAUGAGGAGUUGAGUAUGGAUUAGGAGGACUUGGUUGAUGUGUUUGGAUUUGUGCAAUAGAGAGAUUAUUUGUUUUGGAUGUAUUAGGAUGAAUGUACCAUAUAUCAAUAAGCAUAUAUAUCAUACUUUGAAGUAUUUAUCUAUAAUAUAAAACAAUGCAUUUAUUUAUUUAUUUAUUUUUUAGGUUAUUACUAUCUUAUAAAUGCAAACUAUGCAAACUAUUUAUAGGAUAUCAUUUAAAUAAAUAUAAUCCCAAAUUAAUGCUAAAAUAUUACAUUGAUGAAGAGUGGAAGUGGCUCAAAGUAUACUUUUGUUUUGUUUUAUUUAUUUAUUUAGGUUUUAAUUUGUAUAUAAAAAAAUAACAAUUAUUCAAUUUUUUUUUUACAACAUUGUUUAGGAGCGUUAGAUGAGACAUUCAUUAUGAAGAAUGUACUAGAUACUAAACGCAUAUAUAUUGUAUUAUGAAGUAUUUAUUUGUAUUAUUACAUAAUAUAAUUAAAUUUCUUUGUUAGGUUAUUACUACCUUGUAGAUAUGGACUAUGCAAAUAAUGAGAAAUUCCUUACUCCAUUUAUAGGAUAUCAUUUAAAUAAAUAGAGGGGCAAAAUGAUAGAAGUGUAUAUUUCAUUCCAUUUCCUCCAUGAUUAGGAAACACUUGAAAGGUAACCAACUUCAUUCUGAUUUUGUUUCCUAUAUGUUAUAAGUCACUUCAAUAGAAUUCGUGAUUUUGAUUAUCUUCUCUUUUCUUUCCUUAUCAGCUGGUUCUCUUUCCUAUGAUUUUAUUUAUAUAGAACUAGUAAACACGCUCUAAGGAUCAAAUUAGAACAAAGAUUAGAGAUAGUUAUGAUACUUUUUUUUUCUUUAAACAUCAAACAGGAACAAAGGACGUCAAAGUUUUGGAGCACGCACAAUCAAUUCUACAUCAAUAAUAAUCACUAAUGUUUUUAUCUAAUUUUGAAUGUCAUAAUACAAAGUAACCUUCAUUUCUAUCAACUUGGUGAAAAAAAAAACAUUAGAAUGCCAUGAAAAAUAAAAGAACUAAUAAUAAUAUUAACUAAUAAAACAGGUGAGAAGGAAACACCAUUAUUUAGAUUUGAAGUCAUUAUCCAGUGGUCAUAAAGAUAGAACUCCGUACCACUGAAGGAUUUAGUCGCACACUUGAAAGAUAGCCAAGAAAGUCAAGGGAAUGCUUGGAUAAUUGGUUUAUAUGAAUCUUUAUUGGUUGAGACCACAUGUAAAAAUGACAUUGCCAGAAAUUGACAAGGUAAUAUUUCCAUUUAUUCAUCAGAAGAGGCGCCCCUUUUGAAGCCAUAAUGGAUUUUCCUUGAUACUUAACAUAAUGCAUGAAAGGAUUCUUGAACAACCAUAAGAUUGUCUGAAAAUCAUUAGCAAAGACUUCGACAAAAUGCUCUAUUUUUCCAUAGAAAAAUAUUCGCCCAAGAAGGGCUCCAUAAGAUGUUGAUCGUAAAUGAUAAGAUUGAUUGCAG